UUUGUAUUUGUCAGGAGAUCAGCGGGGUCUUCAAUAGGAACUGCAUGAUAUCAUAUUCUGCAUAUAGGAACAUUUUCCCAAUCUGGGCAUUGGGAGAAUAUCGUUCUCGUGUACUCAAAGCUAAUUGAGUUGCAGUUCCAGAUGAUACUUCAAGUCUUGACUCUUUUCUUUUCAAAGCUAGUAAACAAAAGAUAGUUCUGACAUUCAUCUUAUAUAUAUGAAUAAGACAACAAAUAAACCAUCAAAUAUUUCUUCUCUUUUCAUUCAACUAAAUCACAACCAGACUUAAGAGUGUCACAAUAAUACAAGGUUUUCAAUAAAAUAGUUCACCAUGAUAAGUUGCAGACAAGAACAGCUUCAGUUUAUAUCAAACAGUAAGCAGAAAUCUUGUCCUUGAAGAAGAAACGAGGGGAAAAGGGCGGGUGAAAUCGUUUCAAAUGGAAAUGGAGAAAUGAGGGGAAAAAUUAGGGAUUAGGAAUCUUAUUAUUAGUCUACGUGGAAAUGGAUGAAAUUGUGGUGAUUACGUGUCAUCCAUGUGGUGUUCACAUAGCACUUAACACACUUAUGUUAAUUAGAAGGGUAUGUUUGACCCAGUAGUAUGACAUGAAUGGUAGUUUUGAGUCGGAAUAUAGUUUAAAGGUAAAUGUGAGUUAUUUCAAAUGAUUUAGGGAUAUUUUUGAGCCUUUUCCGUUAUUGAAAUACUACUGCCUAUUUGAAAGUGUAGGGAUAAAUCUAAAAUUAACUUCAAAUUCUCCGGUCUACUGACGUUUGGAUCAUUAAAUAUUUUGAGGAACAAGUAAAUUGAAAAUCAUUUGACUUAAAUUUCUUUUUUUUAUCAAUAUAUUAAUGUUCUCAAUAUCUUUGAUUUUUUUCGGAGUUUCCACCCACAAAUAAAUAAUGUUAAGAUUUUCUUAAUUAUAUUCGUGCUUCAGCUCACACAAAUAAAUUGCCUAAUGAAACAAUAAUUAUGAAGAAAUCAACAUGUAAUUUGAGAAAAUGGAGAAGUCUACCGACAAAACUAAGAUUGAAAAAUUACAGGAUUUAAGUUGGAAUUGUCAAAACAUAAACUUUAGGUCCAAGGAUCUAAAGUUCAAACAAUUCCAACUUCAAGUUUACUUCUGUUCCCUUGUUGUAUGCAUAUGUUGAGACUCACUGUUAUGCUUUCGCUAUUAUUAAUGUUAGAUUUUGCUGGAUCUACUCGUGCAUUUCCAGAACUAGACAUUCAGUAGUCAUACAAGGAACAAACACAUAUAUGAAAUGCAUUAUUUUUAAAGAUACAAGCUUUGAAAAUGUUGCACAUUUCACAUAUAGAUGUGACGAUAGAGCCAGAGAAUAGUAGCCUAACACUCAUGACCAAAAACGAAAUACCGUCAACCUAUCAUGCAUAUCUAAAUUAAGUUCAUCUCCAACUGAUUUGCAAAGAGUAUUUGCAUCUUUAAACACCUGAGUAUAAGAUAAUGUCGGAUUCAAUUCAGUAUCAACCAGGCUUUCUCAGCAAGUAUCGACUUCAGAACUUUCAAAUGUCUUACACUAAGAGGAGAUUCUCAACCUGUUUAAUAGAACUGUAAAAUCACUCCAAACUGGAGGGAACAUCGCAACAAAUACAUAGAUACAAUAAUCACAAGCAAUGUCACCAUGUUGUUGUUGUCAAGCUUUGGGUUAAAAGGUGUUUGUACAUCAAAAGAACCAACCUUUUUGCUGAUAAAGUAGCACAAUCAACUUUGUCAUCUGUCCUCAUGUAUGUUUUGUCAUGUCAUAAAUUAAUGGAGCAUGUUCUCACCAUUAGAUUUAAGCUUCCUUCCUAGCUCUUAGUCCUCAACCUACUGAUGCACAUGUUAAAUAAAACCUACUCGAGUUGAAGGUUUGCUUAAGAAGCUCGACUUACAAGCAUUGUGAGAACUCAUAACCUCCAUAUAACUAUCAACAUGUGCAGUCUCUGAUUGCUUUAACAUGGUCAUAUCAUUUACAGAAUUCCCCCCAUUGGCAAAAUGUGAGUACUGAGCAUUCUUGACAAUUCUAUGUUGAUUCAACGAGUAGUCAUCUGACCUGGGAGGAGACCAAUCAUUUUCCGCUGAAACAUUUGGGAAAAGUAGUUACUAUAUCAAGAAACGAAAAGUAAAGAUGUACAGCAAGAAAAAGUGCAAAUUUCUAUGUAAACUAAAGAGUUAACUAAUUCUAAAAUUUUCUAAUACCCUUCGUUUUUCUUGGAGACUAAAAGAUGCAUUAUAUUAUAGUUUUAUAUAUGGUACAAAAACCUUCGUGGAGAUAUUGCACACUUCCUCAUGGAAGUAAGUUCUGGAUGUGUUAUAUCCCUAGAAACAUACCUUUCAUGUACCUCCUGAUCUCAUCUGGCUGCAUGGAUUUCGCUCCUUUCACUGUUCUGUUGAGCGAUUCUGCCAUUGCCCUUUUAACUUCAGGCGGCACAUUGGGACAACCUUUUGAGGGCCCUUUUGGAUCACCUCCAGCCAAAUGUGCCUUAAGAUGUGUAAUUCCUCCAGAAGAAGAUAUGAAACCACAAUACUUGCAAACUGCUCUCUGCCUUUUUGCAUCAACUGGUGUAGCAUAAUCCCAGGCAGCAUCAAGUGGCCUUCCCCUUCUAACUGAUUUUUUGGAUGCAGGUGCUGCUAAUUUAGAGGAGAAGGUACAAACAAUAGGACCCUGAAUUAAAUCUUAAUUGAGAGAGGGGGUAUUUAGAAAAAAGUUCAAACGGAAGAAAAAGAGAAAGCAGGAACAAUCCUGGCACAAUAACCUCAACUCUUUUUGGGGUAUUGUUUUUAAAUAAAGAAAAAAAUGGAUAAUUGUGUGUGAUGGAAGCACUACUAAAAUUUAAAACACAACAAAACAAAUUGUUUCAAACCCGUAAUCAAAAUUUUAGCAAAUACGUGCAGGAAAGGAUGCCACUUCCAUAUGCAGUGUACAAAGGUGGUGGUCAAAAUUUCAAGAGGAUAUUCAUGGAUGUACGUAAAUGUGUAAAAAACGACUCUGUUAUUCCCCCCUCUGAGGAAGAGGGAAUAUAAUUAACCAAAAUUAUGUAAUAGCAAAGACAAAUAAAAUAGCAAGCUGAACUAAUAAACAAGCCCAGUAAAAAGAGUGACAGCACUUGUCCAUUUUCAUGGGAUAAUCUUUUCCAACUUUCACAAGGAAAUGAACUAGUUUUACAUUUGAUUUUAAAAGGAGGUAGCAAGUUCAAGCCGUGGAAACAAUCUCUUGCAUAAAUGCAAAAUAAGGUUGUGUACAAUAAGCAUGAUGUGGCACAGCCCUCUUCGGAUCUCGUAUAGCAGGAGCGAAUCUUCAUAUGAAAGAUUACUAAUUUCCAUAGCAAAUCUUUCCAAUGCAUUUCCUCUUUUUUCUGACAAAGUAUUGAUGUGGAAAGAGUUCACCUCUACGAGAUGAAUGCUGACUGAAAUUUUUUCUCCAAAACUAUCAAAAACGAGAACAUUCUAAUAGCCAAAAUUGAAUGAUCCAACUCGCACUCAGAAUACUUUGCUUUUCCCUCUUUCUGAUAUGCAUUUUCAUCAUCUUUUUUAAGUCAAGAUGAUGAUAUUUAUUAGCGAAAACCUAAAUAAACUAAAUCGCUUUGCCGAAAGAUGGCCACUUUAUCCGCAAGAUUUUGGAAUUUUGUAAAAAAAAUUGAGAACAUUGUUGGUUCAUGGAGGUUUAAUCAAUUUUUAAAUAUUUUUUUCAAGUUCCAAAAAGGGGUUUUGGCCAGUUUUCUCUUCCACCCAGAAACUUCAAAAAAAUUUCAAGUAAAAUGAAUGCAUGUCCAAACCCAACUUCAACUUCCAAAAACUAUUUUUCAAAAGCUUUUUUUUUCAAGUUUCAACCAAAUCUAUGUCCAAACGCUAGCUUAGAAAUUGCGCUAAGCCAAUUGAGUUUGCUCGCGUUUACCAUCUUUCUUCCAUAAAGAAGGAAAAACAACAAUGUACUUAUCAAACUUCAACGAGGAAGUAGUGCUGUAAGCCAUCAUCUUUUUGGGUGAUCAGACUGGCCAGAGAUCAUCUGCAAAUAGCUUUCAGACUUGGUAUAAAGUUUUAGACAUACCUAAAGAGGUGUUAGAGCAGCUGGAAAAAAUCAGAAGGGGUUUCCUAUGGGAAACGAACUACAGCUCCCACAAAUUGCACUUGAUGAAAUGGAGUGAAGUUACACAGCCUGAGUGCAACGGAAUUUUAGGGUUCACUAAUUUAACCAUCAACAAUAAGUGCCUGCUCAUGAAGUGGCUAUGGAGUUAUGGCACAGGUGAACAAAGCCUCUGGAAGGGGAUGAUCAAGGCUAAGCAUGGAAGUAAAGACAACUGGAGUACUAAUAUUACCAAUGCCCCUUAUGGACUUGGUCCUUGGAAGUUCAUCAGCAAACUGGGCCAUGAUUUCUCUCCAAAGAUCCAUUUCAAACCUGGGAGUGAAAGCACAUCAGUUUCUGGAAGGACAAACAGUCAUGCUCUCAAGGAUGUUUAUCCUAGCAUUUUCAACAUUGCUGUGGAUAAAAAUUCCUCAAUUUCCCAAAACAGAAGCAAUCAGUCCAGGGAUAUACAUCAAAGAAGACCUGUCCAAGACUGGGAAAUGGGAAGUUUGAUUGAAAUGUAAGCAAAAAUGGAUAGUUGUAACGUUGUUGAAGAUCUUUCAGACACCAUGCGUUGGGGCAGAAAUGGGAUAUUCUCAGUAAAGGACUGCUACAAAAUCAGAUGGUUGAUUCUUCGCCCUGGAAAUUGAUAUGGAGAACCAAACUUCCUAUUGAGGUAAUAUGCUUCAACUAGAUUGCCUUGUAUGAAGCUUGUCUAACACAAGACAAUCUUAACAGGAAAAGUUUCCAGCUGGUUAACAGAUGCUACCUAUGCAGAAGGAAUCAGGAAACAGUUAGUCAUAUCUUACUGCACUGCAAUGUAGCCACUGAUAUAUAGAGUAUGUUCUACAGCAUUUUUGGUCUAAGCUGGGUCAUGCCACAGAACCUGAGACGGGCACAGUUAAGUUGGGAGUUAAUGGAAAGUUGAUAUGGCCAUCAAGAAAAUCUGGCUGAUGAUUCCUGCAGCUACCUUUUGGAGUUUAUGGACAGAGAGGAAUAGAAGAUGUUUUGAUGGCCCUUAAACUCCAAAUCAGAAAGCUAAAUGUUUACUUAAUGUUUUUUCGCUGGACAACACUCUCCCCUGCAAUAAAUAUUGAUCAUUUUCUGGAUUUUGCUAGCACUCUUACUUAAGACUAGCACACUGUAUAGGAGCCCGGCUAAGUCUAACUACUCUUCUUGUCAUUUCAGCUCCUAGUUUCUUUGCCUUUUGUGACUUCGCAUCUUGUUGAUUCUUCUUUUUAAUGAAACUUAUUAUGACAUACCUGGAUAGUUCUAUCCUAGUGCAAGUGUUCCAGAAAAAUAUUAAAUAUGCAACAGCAGUGCAAGUUGUUUGCAUAAAAUAUGGAGUUACAUCAUUUCUUGCUUUAGUCACUAUCUAAUUGCUUGAGCUUCUCUACGAUUAACAAAUCUACAACAAAGUGGAUAGAACCAACAGUGCAUUUUUCCAAUUCCUCCCUUAUUUUAUAAUCGGGGGAAAAGGACAAAUAUACCCCCGAACUAUCGUAAAUGGUAUGGAGAUACCCUCCGACAUACUUUUGGAACAUUGGCGCCCCUGUCGUCCAAAAACUAAAGCAUAUAUACCCUUCACUCUAACGGAAGACUAAAUGGGGACAAGUGGCGCAAUCUUAUCCAUCGAUUCGACGUCAGAUCGGUGGAUAAGAUUAUGACACGUGUAUGUCCGUUAGUAUAAAGGGUAUAUAUGCUUUAGUUUUUGGACGGCAGGGGCAACAAUGUCCCAAAAGUAUAACGGAGGGUAUCUGUAUACCAUUUAAGAUAGUUUGGGGAUAUAUUUGUUCUUUUUCUCUUAUAAUUGUGGUGUCAGGAGCAGCAACUCGACUAAUUCAACGAGGUACCUGGUACCUUCCGCUAAUAGAGGUCACUUUGUCCACCAAGGCGUGAACAGAUAGGAUUAAAUAAAGUGACGACGACCAGAAAUAAUGUUUUUGUUUGCCAAAGGAGGGUACAGACUAGUAUAUACCACAUGGACAUGAUGAUGAGGAUAGGAGGUGUAUUAGAAGAGAUUUAAGGUGUAAGGAGAGCCCUAGAACAAAGUCAAGUAGAGAACUACGUAACGGACUAAAGUUGUAAAUGAGCUUGCACAAGAUCCAACUUCAAAUAAGUACAUCUCCAUGGAUAUAAACAGUUAUGUGGUGCAUAACCUGUCAUUUUUAAAGUUCUUUAAGACUAGUUUCCAACGCUUCAACCUGUUUAUCAUUUGGACAUUUGUAUAAGGAGUUAUGGCCUUUUUACUUAAGAGUAGUAGAGCAGCUACGCAACCAAAAAGACCUUCAUGGGUCACGUAGGGGGCUGUGUGGGCCACGUAGGCACCUAAGGCCUUUUUAAAGGCUAGUUGGGGCCCAUUUCUUCAUUUCCUUCCAAGUCCAAAAAAUGACCUAGAGAGAGGGAGCUCGUCCAAGACUUGAACACACUCCAAGGUGAGUUUUAAUGGUGUUUUGAGUUGGUUUCAACUCCCGAAUCUUCAUAACAAGAUUAAAUCUUGGGAUUAUAGAUUCUUGCUUGAACCUUCAUUUUUGGUCAAGAACACCAUGAAAUCCGAAAUUCAAGAUUUGGCUACCAAGAGGUAAAUUCUUCAUCUCACACUUGAAUAUGUUAUGGAUUUAGUAUUUGAAAGGUAUAGUGUGGUUGAAAACACCAUUUGUACGAGUAAUAGCAUUAGUUCUUGAAAUGGGUAUCAUUGAGUUACAGUUCUUGAAAGAAGAAAUGAUUUAAAUGGUAGAAUUGUAGGUUGGGUGAUACAAUUGGGCUGAGUAAGAAGAGUUAUAAGAUUAUUCUAUAUGCAUUUUUCUAUUUUAUAGUCUAGUCUAGAAUUACUAAAUAAGGGUAUAGUAUACAAAUGAGUCCUUAUAUGUUUUGCACUUAAAGAGUCCAAGGGAUAUAUAACUUGUAAUUGUGGGAGAGAAGAUUAUCGAAUACAGAAUUUGCUAGUCUCUUUCCUGUUCUUCUAGGUAGUUUGCUUCUUCUUCCUCUAUCUGUCAGUGCCAGCAUCAUUGGGAGUGAAUUGUUGGACACAUCAUUGAUGAAGGAAGUUGUUAUAUAUCUAAAAUCGGUUGUAUCAUUGCCCCCAAGGCCUAGCUCAAGUGGCAAAAGGUGGAGGAUUUGUGGCUUAGGUCGCAGGUUCAAGCCCCACACCAUGCAAAGCGAAGCCCGGUAUUUAAGUGGAGAAGGGUAGAGGGGCGGGCCCAUUAUCCACCGAGUUUAGAAGGUUGUGAUUGGUCCAAAGGGCGGGUCACAGACGGAUUUCUCGGUUAUCAAAAAAAAAAAAACGGUUGUAUCAUUUGUUGGCAAGAAAGGUUGUUGGAUGAAGAAACAUCAUAGAAAGAAGGUUGUAAUGCUAUAUGCACAGUAGGUGUUUGAUGAAUUGUCAAUAAGACCCAAACCUGAAUGCUUUUUACUAAUAUUAAUCCUACUUGAUGUAUAUUGUUGUAGAUUGAAGUCAUAAUGGUGAUUGAACAUUGUAGUACUCUUAAUAGGACAGAACUGAAGUAUGUUUGGCUAAACUCUCUCAUAAGAAUCAUUUUUAUAGAAAAUCUCCUUUGUCAUAAGGACGGAACUGGUUGUGGUUGCUAUCAAAAAGUGUGAAGCAGCAGGUAUACAAUAAUAUAGAAGGGUCUCUAGUCAAUCUACAAACAAGCAAAAUACUUCGACAAGCCAAAAGAGGUUAAUCUACAUAAGCUCUUCACCAACUGCACACACUGUUCAAACUACAAAAGUGCAGUUCCAAGUCAUCCAAAAUUAAGGUAUGAGACAGACAAGAAACAGCGUACUCAGAACGCUUCUGUUUCUCUCAUUCUGAUAGAAAUAAAUAUCUUUCUGUGGAGCAAAAGACUCCUGUCAAGAUACAACUAGUUUUCCAUAUUAAAGUCUAUAUAGAAUCAUCCCUAUUUUCAGAAACAUACCUUCAAAGUCAGUCCUGAUUUCCUGUAGCUGUGGGGCCUUCCCCCCUCUUAUAGUUCCUAGUAACCAUUCUUUCAUCACCCUUUUGACUUCUGGUGGCACAUUUGGACAACCCUUUAGUGAGCCCGUCGGAUCACCUCCACCCAGAUGUGUCUUAAGAUAAGUAAUGCCUCCAGAGGAAGAGAUAAAUCCACAAUAAUUGCAAACUGUCCUCUGCUUCUUUCCAUCUACUGGAGUAGCAUGUUGCCAAGCGUCAUCAAGCGGUCUUCCCUUUCUAGCUGUUUUUGAGGCAGUUGCUGCUUAUUCAAAGAAGCAAGAGGAGGAUGUCCAAAGAAAAAAAAUGGUACUUCAAAGUUCAAACAGAUUUGAAGGAUGAGUACAAGAAAAAUCUUAUUCAUCCUUGCAUUGAGUAAGUACAAGAAGCAAGUUACAAAAGCAAAGAAACUAGUAAUUAGGCAUGAUGGAAGCACUACUAAAGUUUAAUAUAGACGCUAACAAAUUGGUAUGUAACCAAACCCCUAGUUGUGAAUUUUCCUUUAAAUUUUUUAUUCAAAAGUAAACUUAUAUCAUCUCAUCUCAUAUUUUCAACACGCCCCUCAUGUGUGGGCCUAAUUCUUUUCCAUAGACGAAACACGUGGAAGUUCUUUUUUGAUAAUAGGUGGCAGGACACUCGAACUCAGAACCUCUAUCUGAUAUGAUAUCAUGGUGAAGUGUGUAAUCAUCAUAUUAAAAGCUUAAGUUGUUACAAAGAGCACAUUUUAUUCAAUAUCAUUGAUUUGCACCAAAGGUGCUAAUAUACAACAAUCAUGUAACAUAUACAUAGUACAAUAAAAAUCCCAAAGGCAAAAUAAAAUAAAACCAUCUAUGCUGAUAGGGGCAUUCUUGUUACACCUGAAAACUAAUUUUUUUGAAAAAAAAAGAGGAAAUUCUGACUUUGAACCACGGAUUUCCAACUUCCUCAAGUAGGAAACCAAAUUCAUGACAGGGUUACCAAUAAAUUUAAAAGGGUUAGUACUUUGAAAGAUGUUAGUAAAAAUUACAACAGGAAAAGGAGAAAUAUGCCCCCGAACUAUCAUAAACGGUAUCUAAAUAACCUCCGUUACACUUUUAGGACACUGAUGUCCUUACUGUCUAAGAUUUAAAGUGUAUAUACUCUUUGAACUAACGGAGGGACACGUGUCUUGAUCUUAACAACCUACCUAAAAUUAAAUUAAUUUUUAUCCACAAUUAAAAAACUCACCCGUCUUGCACAAUUUAACCAACCCAUGACCCAAAUUAGAACACUUCUUCUUCCACCUUAAUUAAGCGAUAUGUUCAUGGAUUUGAAGAAAUUAAAAAAGAUUUUGUGGGCGGCUGGAACUAAUUUUGAUGUUUAUUUUUGUUUCUUAUUCCCGACUAUGGAUCAAUUUCAGGUUGGUCUAUGUUUCUUGUAUACAUAUACAAACAAUCACAAUUUUCUUUCUUCCAUGACCAUGGGGGGGGGGGGGGGGGGGGGGGGGUGGGAGGGGGGUGAUCGUCAAUUGAAAUGACUAUCGUCACUCAAUCAUAUUUUAUCUUUCAAAAGUUAACAAUUAAGAUUGAUCAUUUUCUAACUCUUCUUUUAUUUAAAACUAAAAAUAGAAUUUCAAGAGGAAUAAGGAUAAAUACUCAAUGAUUAAUUUUUUUUUUAAAAUUAUGCACAUUAAAAAUUAUUAAAAUUAAACAUCUUUUUUUGAAUUGGCUCAGGUACAACUUUUAAAUUUUGCUUUAGGAGUUGUUGCACAGACGUGAACCAACUUAUGGGGAGAAGUUAGCUUUGUAUGUGGGUUGAUUCUAGUCAAGAAAAAUAUUUAAUUUAUUAGUCUAAUUAGUUCGUAAUUAAGGUAAUUUCACGAAAAUUGCAUAUAUAUAUAAAUUAAUUAAUUAAUAGAAGUUAUGAGGAUUGAGGAUGAAGAUGAAUCUUUAAUAACAAAAAAUAAGAUAAAUGAAUUCCUGAUUAAAGAAAUGUGUCGUAUUACUCUUCUUUUGUCUAACUUUUGUAUGAAGAGAACAAAGAGUGAAAGACGGUGCACCCACCACCACUUCGUUAGUGGUAUUUAGUACAUUGCCACGAACAAAUUAUAUGUUUACUUCUAACAGCGCUUGUUGCUUCUAGAAAGAAGGAAAAGGUCAAUCAAGAUAUGACUCAAUUGCUGGAACACUACACCAAACUCCUGAUUUCUGAUGCACUAAACCACACUGAUAAAAUGUCAUUUUCAAUUGGCUAUUUUACAACUGUAUUGAGCGAUUAGUGAGCUCUCGUAGUGCUAAAUGAUCUCUUGCAUGCUCCACAAGCCUUUACACAUCCUAUAUGACAUUUUCUCACAGAGAAGCUCCAACCAUAGAUCUUCCUUUCUGCUUUUCCAUUUACUAUCAAUUUCCACUAGCUUCUUAUUCCUAAGCUUCUCUUUUCGCCUGUUCUACUACUUCACGCACACUUGCAACCAUUUCUCAUUGUGAAGGACAAGAACUACAUGUCUCCUCAAGAUGGCCCUGAUUAUUCAAACUAUAAAAUGACCAAACUCCAUAAGAUGAGCUGAACAGUAUUUUCUAUGAUAACUGAGAAAAUCAAAUCAGAAAAUUCAUUCUCAAAAAGAAAAAUCAGAAAAGAAAAUAAAGAAGUAAUAAAAUGAACAAUUAAAACAUCUUGCUGAACAAUAGUGUAAUAUGUAUCUUCAAACUUCAGUUUAACCGCUAGCAUCUCAAAAUAUUUUCCUUUCAAGUUACGUGCAUACAACAAACAAAUGUAGCUAGAAAUCCACAUUAUCCAGCUAAAAUGAUACAUUACUUGAUGUAGGUGAUAUUCGCUAAAUUACACAGGUGAGCUUACAAGCAAGCAGCCAACAAGUUUAAUUACUCAAAGACUUACAAGGAUCUUUCUUAUUGGAGAAUUCCUUGCAACUUCUAUCCUUCCCAUCAUUUUCUGAAUUUGGGAUUGAAGCUUGUGUCACUCGGGUAUUAUGAAUGAAACAAUCAUCAGGUGACUGUUGAGGAGGAGCUUGUCUUCCACUAAAGACGCCCCAUAGAUAUAAUUUACCCUCAAAUCCUGCAAUUUUAGUGUGGUUAGUACGAACAUGAGAAGAAGCUUGUCUAUUCAAGACUUUGGGAUGGUAAGAAUUACUGUGAUUCUUUUCUGGCAGAUGGGCAGAGGUAAAAAUCAGGAGUUCAGAAUCACCAACCAACGCUUUUAAUGCAAUGUCGUAGUGUCUUAAAUUAUACAGCAGAUUUUCAAAAACUUGAUCAUCUCUGAGACAACCAUACCAGGAUUAGAGGUGGUAUAUAACAGUAGAUGCAAAGAUUUAUGCUAGGUUGGUUACCAUACCUGCCUUUAACUGAAAAGAAAUAAAUGGCAAUAUUAUCAUCAAUCAGUUUAGAACUUUUAAAACUCUUUGGCCACACAUCACGCUUAGGAAGGAAUUCAGGAUAGAUCACCUCCGCCAUCUCUUUAGCUGCCAGCCAUACUUUGGCGCACGCUUUACUUGAUAGAUGGGCUAUAAGAUUCAAUCUCAUCUCCGGACGGGAGAUCAUGAAACUACCCCUGUGAAAUGAGAAUAACCAGAUUUCAUACUAGAACUGAAUAAGAUCCAGUUGCAGCUUUCAUCAAUGCCUCCUCCAGAAGAGGUAAGAGGUAAGAGGUAGUAUGGAAAAAGAAUAAUUAAGUAGUAAUAGAUUUUCAAUGUACCUCCAUAUGGUAUCAGCAAUUGGUUUAGAAGCCAUGUCACAAUUGUGAGCUGAAAGCACUAGCCUAUACCAAGUAAACUGCCUUCCUUUCAAUCUGUAAGAUCGUCUUUUCUCACUUCAACAAGCUUCCGUCAGACGUCAACCAUCUGUACUUACACCCAAAAAUGAAAAAGGUCAUCCCCCCAUACUCUACAAUCCCGUUUGUGAUUGUUAAUAAGAAUUAAGCUUCAAUUAACCAACUACUUAACCAAACUCAAGCCAGGAGAGGUAAUCUCAGUUACCAUAGCAAACAAAACUCUUUAAUUUUUCUUACAAAGUAACCACAGAAACUAUGUCAUCAGUCAUACCGUCAUGUUGCUUUCUAAACAUGUCUACUUUAUUUAUAUGGCAUGUAAAAAUAAAAGAGACACAGAGUAGCACUAAGAUUGCAGCUUCAAGAUCAGCUUUUUCAACAACAAAAAGCUGUUCAUCGCGGGAAAAAAGCCUUUCCCCAUUUAGUUUUUAAAUUUGACUAAUUUCAAAAUGGUCUCUGCUUACACAGCUGAAAAUAAAAAAGAUAAUUUUUUUCUUUUCCUUUUCAAAGAUCAAAAGACGAAACUUUCUCCAAAAACCCAACAAAAUUGAUGUUUUAAGGCUCAAAAACUUAAAGAACCCAAUCUGUUGAGUCAAAGAUAAGCAAAAAGAAGACCUAAUAAGCACAUCAACUAUCCUCUUCCGGAUUAAAGUGAGAGAUCAAAAUCCAACAUUCUUGAACUGUAAAGCCGAUCUCAGUAACCCCCACCCCCACCACCCAAAAAGUUGAAAAAAGCAAUCUUUAAUCAAGAUGGGUUAUCCCCAAAUUGCACCACUUUGCAAACUAAACACAACCCAUGAUCAAUACAUGAACUUGAGAAACAAACACAAGUAGUAUCAAACUUAUAAGUACUAUUAACAAGAAGAUAAUUUUUUCACCUGAAUCUGCAGAGUUAAAGGAAGAAGUAGUGAUGAGCUGAGAAAAUGGAUGAUUUUAGAGAAGUUGAAGAGUUAUAGGGUUUCUGAGAAAUCAUUGCAUAAAAAGGGAAAAGGGGUUUCGGUCAUCGGUAUACACCAAAUUUCCCAUAUACACCGCUAGUGGCGAAGAAGGCCCUUUUUUUUUCUCUUUUUUUUUACAUUAUUUAUUCCAACUUUUUUUUUUAAUUAAUGUAUCUCCUCUUUUUUUUACGGGGAAGCAGAUAGUGACUGAGCUAGAAUUUUCAUUAAAAUGGAUUAAAGUAUGAAAAAAUAAAUGUAUGAAGAAAUAUCAUGUUUGUUAGUUGGUUGUUUGGUUAGGAAGGUAAGUUAUUUAGUUAUAAAACUAUUAUGGUGUUUGAUUUGUAAUUUAGAAAAUUGGAUAAUUAAAAACUAAUAUACGUAUAAGUUAUAAAAAAAUAUGUAUUAUCUUAUGUAAAAUAGGUGUAAUAAUUAUUAUGUGAAUAACUAAUAUAUGCAUAAAAUAAUACAUAAUUUUUUUUAUAGGGUCGCUUCGUAGAUGGUUAGAGUUAUGUAGAUAUCAAUAAUAGAUGAAUUAGUUAUGAAAUUUUUUAGGUAUUGUUUCAUGAAGGGAUUAAUUAUACCAAGUAUUACUAAUCCACCCUUUUAUCCUACAUAAAUUAGAUACAUAGUUUUUAAAUUGUAAAUCAAAUAUCAUAUUAUACAUGAAUAACGUACCUCCUAAUCAACUACCAAAUAUAGUAUUACUUGUGCAGGAGUUAAUACAGGCAUAACUCAUAUUCAAACUAACUACCAAACGACCUUUAAUUCCUUUGUUACUAUUACAUACAUAACUCUAGUCGACUAGCAAACCAUUUCUAGUUUAUAAAGCUAGAAAUCAUAUUAAUAAGCUUUGAGUCAGUCCUCUAGUUCUCUCACCCAAAUACCCACAUGCAUGUAAUAUAUAUAUACUAAUUUAAGUGAAGGUGUUUGGUUAUAUUGUUAGACAUAAAGUUUAAGAACAAAAGGAAGACUUUUAAAAUAUAUGGUCUAAACUCAACAAUAAAUAUUGGUGUGUUUAUUAAUCAUGUAAAAUGUGAAUUUUAAAGUCAAAUUAUUAGUAGAAAUAGAAAAAAUGUGUCGUUCUUAUGACAAACUAAAAAUGAAAAAAAUAUCACAUAAAUUAAGACAGAAAAAAUAUAUCAGCUCACUAAAUCAUUAAAUAUAAAUAAUCAGCGUAAAAUUUAAGAUUAUCUUUUAUUUCACAUAAAUAUUAAGUAGGUAAAUGCUUGCUCUUAUUGGAUGUUUACAUUAAAUUAUAUAAAUUUAUUAUUGUUGACUGAUUUAAUAAGGAAAUAUAUGCUAAUUAAUCACGAUUAAAUGUUAAAAGUAUAUCUAUUGAGUUGAUAUAAAUAUUAGCUUGGAAUAAAUUCUUACUCUAUUAGGUGCAUAACAAGGUAAAGUUUCUUAUUAAAUGGAAAUUAAACUUUUUGUUCCACUAGUUUAUUUAUACUUGAACUAAUUGAUUUAAUGUCUCGCUAGAAUGAUUGUAUAAUGAAUUAUUAAGAGUUAACAAUAAAAAAUACAUCUAAAUUAUGUUUUGAUCCUUUAAAUAUAAUCUUGAGCAUCAUCGAUCUCUUAAAUUUGCUAAAGUGGAGCACAUUUAAUCCAACUUAUCUAUUGGACUUUAAAACUAAGGUGAAAUACAAAAAAAAAAAUGACAAAAAAUUGAUUUGAUGCACUUGAGUUGUGGUCUUUUGAAAACAAUCUCUCUACUUCUAUAAGAUAGGUGUAAGGUUUGCGUAUAUUCGAUCCUCUUCAGACUCACUUGUGGGAUUAAAUGGGUAUAUCGCCCCAAUAAAAAAUUAUUCUUGUGGUAGGCCUUGUCCCUAGUAAAAAAUAUGGUGAAAUAACCUUCCCUAUUCUUUCCCCGAACCCUGCUACUAAGAAGGAUGCUCACUUCUAAAAUAUCCUAUAUACGUAGGCGGGAACAGGGGAAGGGGUCAGAUUUAUUCCGACGGCAACAAGAGUAACAAUGCAGUUUAUAAUGCUACAGCAAUAGGUAUAGUAAGCAAAAUCAUACGAAAAGAAAAAGGGGAUAUGAGAUACCCACCCCGAUUACAGCAUUCCUUUCUAUUGCGCCUAAAAUCUCUAUUUCUGCUAAUAUUUCAUGUGUUUCUAUUUAUGGUUCUUAUGGAGCUACAUUGCAACAAACCUUCUUUUUCUGCAACAUUGCUUCUAUGAUCUUAGAGUUGAGUUCAAAGUUACAGCCUUUAGUAGAUAAGCCGGAGUAAACUCAUGAUAACUCUUAGCCCUUACUUCCGAUGAAUGAGAAGUCUAGUUAGGCAGUGGAAACCCUGGGAAGUAAGGAAGUUCAAGUUAGAGGGCAUAUGAAUAUGAAAUAGCAUAUGAUGAGAUUUAACCAUAACGGAUGCGUCGGAGGAAUUGUUGUUGUAUGAGCUUGCUGAAAUCUUUAGGAGUACCUAUUGUAUAGGCCUAUAAGGUACAAUAUGUUGAUCAAACUUUAAGAAGAGGAAAAUAAGUGUUGCAAACAUAAGUAAAAAUCAGACAUUUCAAUGUAGUAAGUAUUGACAUAAAUGUUGAAUAGCACAAAAAAUGAAACAAUCCUUGUGACUUAAACACAGUUCAGCAGGUGUACAAACAACAAUUCAGCUGCUAAAAGCUAGUUCUUGCUAAAAUGAGUUCUGGGAGUGGACCAUGGUGUAUCCUCCAUUCUUGCAGCCCAAUUCAUGAUUUCUUCACAGCUCUCUGGUAAAACAGAUUGAAUUCUCACAGUGGGCUUCAUUGGAGGUAAAAUGAGAAGUGGAGCUUCAUCUUUAAGCAUACGGAAAACAUCUCUCAUUCGCGGUCUCUUCUCAUGAUCGGGAUGCACACAAGAAAGUCCCACAAUGAGCAUUCUAUCCAUUUCAUUCUUCUGAAACCGCCCCAUUAGUUUAGGAUCAGCAGCCUCAGUUAUCCUCCCUUUCUCCCACAAGUCCCACACCCAAUCAGUAAUCAAACCACCACCUUCGUCGAUAGGCUUUCUACCUGAUGCCACUUCCAGUACCACAACACCAAAGCUAUACACAUCUGUUUUAACAGUUGGAAUACCAGUAUAGACAUACUCAGGUGCAAAAUAUCCCAUUGUUCCAGCUGGUACAGUAGCAUCCCUUGUCUUAGAAUUAUCAAACACCUCUGCUAAACCGAAAUCUCCAAGCUUGGCAUUGAACUCAGCAUCAAGCAUUAUAUUGCAACUCUUCACAUCUCUGUGGAUUAUAUGAUUCUCACACUCUUCAUGAAGAUACAUAAGAGCAGAUGACACACCAAUAACUAUGUUCAAUCUUCUCUCCCAUGUCAGAAACUUAGUCAAAUGCGAUCGCUCGUGGAGGAUUUUGUCAAGGCUACCAUUAGGCAUGAAUUCAUACACUAGCACCAAUUCAUUCCUCUCACAACACCACCCUUGAAGCUGAAUCAAAUUCUUGUGUCUUAAACAGCCAACCAUAGAAGCAAAUUCAGUAUUAAAAGGAAUAUGUGAAGGACCCAAUCUACUCCCUUGGACAAAUCUCUUAACAGCCACAGAUCCCCUAGAAGGAAUUUCCCCUUCAUACACAACAGCAGAUGCUCCUUCUCCGAUUAUCCUUUCAUGAUUAAAACACUCUGUAGCUGAUUUUAUUUCAGAUAAUGACAAUCUUUGAGGCACUCUAUUUCCUUGUAAUCUACACAUUUGCCGUUCAUUGGUCUCCCCUACUCUAUCGCGUUUUUUCCUUCUCAACGCAAGAACAAACACAACAGACAAAGCACAACCAACAAGUGUGACAAUUGCAGCUAACCCUCCAUAAGUCAAUUUCAGUAAACUUUUACUACCACUACUACUACUACUAUGAUGAGAAUCAGAAAUAUGCCCACCAAUUUCCUCUUCAGGGAAACACAUCAAACAGUUUCCUUCAUCGGAUUGAUCCCAAGACGAUGAUAUUGGAGACGAAAUCAAUCCAAACGUUCUAAAUCGCCAACGACUAAUGCUAUAAACUGCAGACCCUUUAGCAGUGAAACCAAUCCUCAUAAACUCCUUCAACUGAUUGGAAACAUCAAUUCUGGUAGAAAGAACAGGAUUAGGAGGCCUAAUUUGCAGUUCAUACCCAAUCCAAACUCUGAUCAUUUUCUCUGAAUCUUUAUACUCAAUCCGACCCGCCAUUUCUUUCCCACUUUUCAAAUCAAUCCCAGCUGAAUCAACAUUAGUAGAAGCCAAAGACCUAAUUUCUUUAGUAUCAACACCAAUACGGUUAUCAUUGGCAUUGAAUUCCACAGCCAAGAAGGAAUCUUCCGAGUCGGGAUUCGGAAGACCCAUAUACCCAUCAGAGAUGCUCAAAGAAUCAACAUCAGAAGUGACCAAAAACCCCAUGCCAUCACCAAAAGGGCAAGAAGGGGUUGGAAGUAUAGUAAAAGAGAAAGUACACAAGAAAGAAGCAGUGUUAUUGGUUAAAGAAUCAAGAAAACGAACUGGGUAUGUGUAGAAAGCUCUUCCAAUGCCAGAAAUGGGAGGUGUUGAUGAUGAUGAUGAACAGUUGCGUUCUUGGGUGAGGGUGAUUGAUUUUGCGGUGAAUGAAGCAUCGCCAUAAAGAGUUACAUUGUUUAUAGGCAAGAAAGGAGCUGAAAGGGAAGGUGAAUUUAUGGUGAAGAUGAAGAACAGAGUGACCCUUGUGAGAUUUUGCAAACAAAAACGCAUCUUGAUUAUGAAUUCUGAAUAUUUUCUGAGUUUGAUUUCUGGGUUUUUGCAGAUAUUGGUUGGAUCUUCGGUUACUGUUUGGAUAUUUGGUGGGUUUUUGCAGAAUUGCAGAAGCAGAGAGCUUUGCUGUUUUGCAUCAAUUGAGCGGGAGACGUAGAGCGGUUAGUAUAGUUACUUGGGUUAAUAAUUCGGGUCGGGUUGAGAUUGUUAAGAGUGCAACUGGGCUGGGCUUUAAAUAUCUUUUGGUUACUUAUUUAAUUGCUAACUGUUCGAUUAGAAAAAAAUACGGAAAAUUGUCUAUCUAGUUUACAAAAUGCGUACACUGAUACAUAAGUUUCCUUGAAAACUACUUUCACAAUCUUAUGUAUUACAUAUAUAUAUGGGUAUACUCUUUUGUGAAAGAUGUGUUUGGAUCAAAUUAUACUAUGACCGCGUUGCCUAAGAUUUUUCCAAUUAAAGUAUCAUGAAAAAACAGAGAAAAAGAAGAGCUCACGUAUCAAAUUAUACAAGAAAUUUGGAAUGCAACUUCGUACAGAAAAAAUCUUAACAAUGUAAAGAAAUUGAAUUGGAAUGUCAUCAUCUACAUGCAACAACUCAACCAUAUAAUUUCAGUAUCAUAAGUUUGGAAAUCAACUUAUGGCUGAUUCCACGAGGUAUACACUAGUGAAGCCAAAACCAAAUGAUGCAACUCACUCCAAGAAAGUCAUUGUUGAAUUGACAGAAGAAGGAAGGUAGCUGCUGGUAAGAGCAUCACUUGUUCAGGUGUGAUACACAAAUUCUUCAUUGAUGAAACUGCAAAUCAUAUUGAAAAUGUUGGUAUUUUGGAGCACCAAACAAGCCUUUCUUGACUUAAAUACAAUCAGCGAGGAAGCUUUUCUAAAGAUGAAAAUUUUCAAGUCUCUAAGGAGGGGGCACAACUAUGAGCUCGUACCUUGGAAAAGAUACUCUUUCCGAUAUAAUUAUUUAUUGUAUACUAUUCAUUGACACAAAAUAACUAAGUCUCUGAACUAGUUACAGGAAUUACAAGGUAGGAUUCUUGCUGCCGAUGACAGGCAUGGGUAACUGAAGAGAGAAGUCCCGAACAGGGCUACUGCUUCGUUUAAUGCAUCUACAAAAGAAAGAAAAAAGGGUCAACGGAUCAGCAGACGAGAGUAAAAGAACCAACCAACUAAAAUAUACUGUAGAACUGGUUAAAAUAAUUGCAUAUCUCAAUAGAAGGCAUAGCUACAAAGAAAGGAGCUUCUUUCUUUUCUGCUAAUUAAGAAGUACUUAACACACAUAAUCAUCACAGAUGUGCAUUGCCUUUUAGAGAUCAAAGUCCAAAUAAUGGCUUGGAAGAACAGAAGACACUGAGUAUUAAGAGCUUUUAUGGGUUUAAGAUGCAACUCUUCACAUUAUUUGGCUGAACAAUCCAUUAAGACUUCUUUCAUUAUAGCAUGAUUGAUACUCAAACUCGACAACAUAGUAUUUCUAACUAUAAGGCUAUCUAGACGAGGAGAAGAAGGCUCAAUUAAAAGGAAGUGGCUUGGCAGGACAAUAAUCUUUCAGUGUCAUAAACAAAAUAUGUUCCUAUCCAAGUUUGCCCAAUUCUCUUGGCUUAAUAUCACCACAAGGUAGACUAUAGAACUUCUCUUCAGAAUCAAUAUGGCGAUUUAAUUUGACAUAAAAUCUCAAAGCCAGGGGCGGAGCUAGGUAGGGCCGAGGGGUCCGAACCCCCUUCAAUGGAAAAUUACAUUGUUUGUAUAUGGUCAGUUAAUUAUUAUUUUUAAUGUAUAUAUAUAGUAAAUGUUGAAACCCCUUCAACUUCUUCGUGUGCAUUCUUCUUCAUAUUGUGACCCCCCUUAGUGAAAUAAAUAGAUCAAAACAAAAACUGUAUGCUGGCAAAAACAAAAGCGGCAGAAGCUCCAAGAAAAGGAAAAAACUGAAAAGAAAACUAAUAAAACUAUAGAGUUCACGGCUAUUUGGCCGAUAUGGUACUACAGUACUCAUAGAACUAUGCUGCUAAAAACCUGAAGAAACUGUAUGUCUAUAUCCCAACAGAAACUCUUUUACCUAUUUAUUUAUAACAAGAUGUGAUCUUUGAAAAUCUGCUUAACGCAUAAAACAAGGUGGAAAUAUCGUUUGUGAAAAGUCACAACCACCAAUUAUUUCAUCCACUUAUCAAUCCUCUAAGUCACUUCAACAUAUUUUUAAAAUUGGAAGACUUAAGAACAUUAGUACUUGGAAUUGUUAAGUCAAAAAAGUAAACAUAUCUUUCAGCCCAGAGCACAACCUUAUAAGGGGGAAAGCAUGCAUCUAAGAUGUACAACAUAGAUGUCUGUCAAAGUAUUUAGAUCAUUUUUGUCUGAAGUUGACAUAAGAAAUUUGGAUGUGAAUUUCAGUUAAAUUAAUUUCUCUUGAAUAAAAGCUCCCAUGAUUAUUAAUUUUGAUUGAGAAGCAUAGGUCACAAUACACAAGAUGGUUGCAGCAGGCUUCAGCAGUAAAAACAAAAGGAAAAAUAGAGAAGUUUAUAGGCCCCAGGUACCUGAAACAUAUCUUUCAUGAUUAUUUGCUGAUAACCAUUGCCUAGUAUGCUGUGAUCCUUUCAGUUAUUUGAUCAGUAUUUUUUGAAUAAGAGUUGUUUGAUCAGUGUAUUAACUGAAAAAUGAGUAUAUGUCCUAGAGAAACAUUUCUGCAGUUACUACCUGUAUGAACUAUAUGCUAACCUAAUCAUUACAUUUAGUGGUAUUUAACUGAUAUACAGAGUUAAUCACGCUAAAUCCCCUCACCCCCCUUACUGUCCUGCCUCCUUGAAAAUAUUUUGAGAUGAUCAAUGGAAAAGAAACACUCUACUAAUAGGAGAUAUCAGAUCACAGACCCAAUCAACUUCAGUGUCAAGGAGCAUUGUGUUCUAACACAAGUUGAUGAUGCAAUAACACAAGAAAUAUUUGCUAUCCCAUUCCUAUUUCUUAGAAAAUGUACUCCAAAGUUGAGAAUUAUGAGAGUGUUCAAUCUACAUUAUAAUAUUCUCCUGACAGUCUCAGGGACCAAACUGAAUUGCCAAGUGGCCCAAGUCCAACUGUCAAAUGAAAUAAAAUACAUAUCCAUCCAAUACAUGCAGAAUUCCAAGAACAAACGUGCAAAGAAUCACUUUCACAAUUUGUUUUAAUUUUUUUUUCUUUUGAAUUAAAAAAAUUGCAGCACCAAGGUGAAGGUGUAGUAUGCACAACCAGAAAAUGAUGUGCUUCCACACAUACUAAAAUGUAAAGGUAAUCUGGAAUGGGGGUUGUGGACAUCCGAAUACCCUCCUAACCCAGUUUAAGGAUUGAUGGAUGAUUAUUAAUGCAAUGUUAUGUUUCGUUUGGAUAUUCUUAUCAUGAAACCAGUCAUUUGAUUAUAAUUUUAUGUCAAGGAGCAUCAAGGUACUUCUAUCAAGAGUCACAAACUUAUUUUGUUUUAUGAAAUUCACAACUUAUCAUAAGACUUCAUCGAAAAAAAUCAAAACUAAUAAUAAGUUUGAGUAUGUUAAUAAAGGCUUUCUGUUCCCUAAAGAUUGGGCAAUCACAACCUUCAUUCCCAUAAAUUUGGAAACAGGAAAAUGUUGAUUACAACAUUCUUGUCAGAAAGCGGAAACAAGAGAAGGUUGAAGUCAGUGCUUUAGCAAUUGCAUAUAUCAGAUUGAUCAAAUAGGGUCUACCUAGGUGGGGAAAUAUCCGUUAGGAUAUCCUCUUUCCAACUAGCAUAUCAAACCAUUGAGGACCUAGAAUUGACAAUGGAUAAAAUGAACAACCUUGAGCUAAGUAGGUGCAGCCUGGUGGUCAACUAAGUGGGAGAGGAAUCAUGAGGUCUUAGGUUCAAAUCUCAACCGAAGCAAAACAAACAAACACUAGGUGAUUUCUUCCUAUCUGCCCAAGUCUUGGAGGCAGAGUUACCAAGUACCUGUCCUGGUAUGAGGCAGCAGGUACGUGAUGGAAUCAUCAAGGAAUGCGAAGCUGGCCCAACCACUACAGUCAUUUAAAUAAGUACAACCCAGAUCUGAGAAAACCAAAUUAUAUGCAAGCAGGGAACUCUGGAAAGCAAUAAAUGAUGUGGAGGAAGAUCCCCUGAAUAACAUCAUUCAACAGAUUUCAAGAUAUUUUUCUCAGCUGACAUUGCAGUUCCCUUUUUUACCUCAUUUUUCUAUUUGAUCAGCUUUACAAGUUUGUUAUGGUUGCUUAAAGGGAUGCUCAGUACAUUAUGCUUUUGGAGGAAUUCUUCGCAUUCAGUGUCAUGAUUGAAGAUGUUGUAUGAUAUGUAGGAUGAAUCCAGCACACGGACAGCCUAAUAGCAGAGUUAAAGGACAUAUUCUAACUGAUGAUGAUCCGAAAAAAAUACAAAUUUCAAAUGUCAUUCAGGCGACUUGAAUUCAGUAUAAAACUUUUCUCUGCAUCAGACAUAGCAGAGUAGGGCUAUAGGGCAUGUAAACACGAUUAAGCAUAAUACUAAUUCAGCCACAAAGGUCAACCAGGAAAACAAUCCUCCUACACAGGACUUGGCUACAACAACUCACCAGAAAACACUGUCACGUCAACAGUUGGGUUAAUUUGUAGUUUGUAUUCCAUUGUAUCCCACUCAAUGAAAAGAAAACCAAAGAAAUAAAAAAGAAAAACCUGCAACCUAAGAAAUACUCAUUUCCUAUGAAGAAGUAUGUGACACAAUCAUUCUGUCAACAAGCAAACCAACCAAUAGUGUUUGUAUCCAUCUUUACAUUGUGUUACCCUGCUGCUAUCCAUUCCAUUUUUUCUGGGGUCCAUUUUUGUUGUCUUUCAAUCUAUAAAUGUGAAGCUCCAAAAUAAGGCAUUCUCUUGUACGACUUCAUUAAACGUAAAUUAAUUAUUCAACUGCAGAUUGAUGUUCUCACAUUUUCAGUCCGGUAAGCAUAUACUACACUAUUACCCCAAGUGUCAUACAUAAUUAGAAGACAAGCAGUUGUUUUGUUUUUGUUUAGUUGAUUUUUGCAAUAAAUGGAUUACAUAAGAUUCGAUAUGUAAAAGUCGUGCUGCUUUCAACCAGAGCUCACCAAACUACAUUUCAAAUCAUUUGAGCUAUAAGGUAGUAAUAUAGUGCCAGAAUAAGAGAGAAAAAAGCAGGAGCAACGACACAUAUCCGCCUAAACUUAGCAAACAAAUCCAGAGACAUUCUUCUUCUCCAACUUGUAAGGUCAAAAGGUUUCAACUUGUGAAGACAUUAAUCUACAGAGAUAUGAUUGUAAACAAUAAGAAAGAAGUGCACUUACAAAAGGUUUUAACAGCUGUAUGUAAGAACCAUUACUCAUACAUUCUAAUUGGCCUGGGUUGCAUCAUCAUCAGGAACCAAAGUCUCUAGCUCCUUAUGCUUCAGAUACUGAUCCAAAAUUGUAAGCCUAGCGGUCUCAAACGCGAAGUACCCUAGAGCUGAAAAACAAGCACUAUGAAGUACUCUAGGACCCAUUCCCCGUGUAAAACCAACCCAGCCUUCUUCUGUCAAUAUCUGUCUAACAGUAGCUGAGACGCCAGUAACCAUUACAGCACCAACCUUAUUGGCAGCUUCAGAAUGAACUUGAGUCAUCAACCUAGUCUUCACCACAUCCAAAGGGGUUGUUAGUGAAGCUGAUAUUGCACCAGCCAAUGCCCCACAACAAACACUCUGAAAUGGCUCCAAACGUUCCUUCUUCACAUUACUCAAUACCGCGGCUUUCAAGUACUCAAAUGACGAAUAACUCAAAACCCCAGCAGGCAAAUUCCUCAACAAUGUAGCACUAUAUCCAGCAUACAACCCCAAAAUUCCAUCUUUUUCCAAGAUUCUCAUUAACACCUGCCAAGACCUCCCUUUAGCCCCAGCCUGCAUUCUCUGAGUAAUCAACUCCUUCGGCACCAUUAUAGCAGAUGAGACUAUAUUCCCCAUUGCACCAGCUGUUGGUGGGAUAAGCACAGAUGGGUAUUGCGGAAAUUUCGACAAGAUUGACUUUCCAAACUCACAAGUCCCAAAAUACACAGCAGAAGAAGCAGUAGACCCAACAAUUACAGCUGAAAUACCACUGUAAAACCCAAGAAUCCCCUUACUUUGAAAAGUCUUGACAAAAGCAUCAAUUGCUCCACUGUAAAUUUCCGAUGCCCCUUUAGUUUGAAGCUUAGUUUUGAUUGUGUCAAGUGGGAGAAGACAUACAUAGGUGAAUGCACCAGCAAUGCCACCACCAGCUGCACCAAUAAGUGCUCUUUCAACAACAGAAAGAUUCUUGAACAGAACCUGAACUUUUGAGGAGUCCCUAGUAGCAGGUUUUAGAAAAUUCGAAGUGGGGUUCUUGAUUUGUGCUUCAAUUGAAACAGAAGUUGAGCAAAACUUGAAAUUGGGAGUGAAACGAUGGUUUGUUGAUUUAGGGUUCUUGUGAUGUAGAAUUGGGGUAGAAAAAAAGGAAGUGUUGAGAUUGUUGAAGAGGGAGUUGAAGUCAGUUUUGAGUUCAUUGGGGUCUUGUAGAAGGAGGCUAAGGGAGUUGCCAAUUCGAGUUUCCAUGGCUAUUUUCUCACUGAUUUUUGGCUUUGGAGCAUAGUUUCGGAUGUGAUGAAAGAAAAUGGAAAGCCAAAACCUGUUGGUAGGGACGAGAUGUGAGGUCGUUAGAUGCACCUUUGGAUGGGCUUGGAUACUUGAUUUUAGCCCACUUACAAAUUACUCAGACGAAAUAAUCUAAUGGACCCCUACACUUGUAUACGUUUGUAUUGUGAAUAUUUUUACUUAAUACUUUACCAACUAAAUCAUUAAACUCAAUCAAAAGAUAGAUUUUUAAAUCCAUCUUAUCAUGUGUGUAGCUCACUCUCCCUCAAAUAGAUGACAUGUCAAAUCCAUGUGACAUAAAUUAAUAACACAUCAUAAUUACCCCUCAACUUUGUUUUAUUGGUUGACUUUACCCCUGCCAUUAAAAGGAAGUUAUUUUUACCCCUGCCGUUAAUAAAUUUAACAAAUAUACCCCUCUUUGAAUGGAAAUCCCCAAAUUAAUUAAAAUUACCCGAUUUUACUUAAAUUACACAAUUUUAACCCGAUCCGACCCGACCCACUUAAUAAUAUAACCCAUUUCUUUUACCCAAAUCUAACUUUGUUUUCCCCCACCACCACCUCCACUUAAACCACCACCAAAAAGCCACCACCCUCUCCGAGAUCUCCACCACCUCUCCCACUACUCUACCUCCUCCAAGUCAUCAGCCACAAACCAUCAUAGAUUUCAAAGUGUUUAUUCUUAAUUAUUGUACUUUUAUUUUUUUAUAAUCUCCUCUAUAUUCUUCAUCAAAAUCAUGAGCAAAAGAAGAACAUGGGUCUUGUUAUUCAUCUCUGUUUACGCAAUUUUGCUAUCGAUUUCUUGGAAUUUUCACAAAUCAGUACUUUCUUGGUACAAAUCGACUAUUUUAGCUAAUUCCUCAAACCCCACAAUCUCAAUUUCUUCUUCUGGGGUGGCCUACUUUAUAUGCAUCUGUGUUAUUAAGGGUAGCUUUUGGGUUCUUUGUGGCAGCUUUAGCGGUAGCUUUACCAGCUACUUUGUUAAACCCUUUCAAUCCCUUACUCAGUUGAUCUCCAUUUCUUCCCGACGAUGUACUGCUUCAUCGUCUCUUGUCGAUGAUGAUUUUGAGCAAAAAUUUGUUACCCAUCACUCCCCUACACAACUUUUGAAGAAUUUUGAUGAAAUUAAGUUGCUUAGGAUCGAGUUGCCUAGUGGAGAAUUGGGUAUUUAUGAGGGUGCUUUGCUCAAGUGGAGAGCUGAUUUUGUUUUCUACUCUUGAUAAUUGUGUUAUUCUUGGGGAUUACAAUUUUUGGUUAUGUUAACUUUUGCUGGAAACCAGAAGGGAUUUGGUCUUAGAAAGCAAGAAAUUGACUCUUGAUAGGGCUGCUGACUUGGAGGAGGUAGAGUAGUGGGAGAGGUGGUGGUUUUGGCGGUGGUGUGAAGGAGAUCUCGGAGAGGGUGGUGGCUUUGGUGGUGAUGGGAAAACAAAGUUGAUUUGUGUAAAAAAAAAAGGGGUUAUAUUAUUAAGUGGGAUGGGUCGGGUUAAAAUUGUGUAAUUUAAAUAAAAUCGGGUAAUUUUAAUUAAUUUGGGGCUUUCCAUCCAAAGAGGGGUAUAUUUGUUAAGUUUAUUGACGGGAGGGGUAAAAAUAACUUGCUUUUAACGGCAGAGGUAAAAUCAACCAAUAAAACAAAGUUGAGGGAUAUUUUUGACCCUUUUCCCUAAUUAUAUUCAUUAACUAUUUUUUAAAAUUAUUAAUCAAAAUAUUAAAUAAGAGGUAAAUAAUUCUUUAAAGUAAAAUUAUUAUUUCUCUCACCUUCUUCCAACUUCCGUCCACCUCUCCUGACCAACAACCACCAUUACCUCCACCUUCUUAGUCUCUUUUCCUACCGUUUAAACUUGUCUUCAUUAUAAAAAAAAAGAGGGUUAUCGAAAAAUGAAAGUCUUGAAAAGAAAAUUUUGAAUCUUAAAUUAGAUCUAAAUUAAUCUUUCUUUGUUUCCUUUUCUUUCCUUCCUUUGUAAGCCUUUUGUAUUUGAAAAUUUUAUUCUUAAAUAGUAGUGUUUGAUGAAACUAAAAUGAAAGAAAAAAAAAGAAUUGGGUCUACCAAUAGGGUGGGGGUGACUGAAAAGAAAGUUGAGGCAAAGAUGGGUGGGGACUGGGGCGUAGCUGAAGCUUGAAAGAAGGGGUUGGGGAUGGCUGAAAAGGGGGAUUGGGGUGGUGGGUAGGCUGAAAAAGAAGGUUGGUGCGGGGAUGGCCGAAGAAGGUGAGGUGAGGGGAAGAAGAUGACUUUUUUAUAAAUAAAAAAUUAUUAUUUCAUACUUUUUAAAUUUAAAUAUGUUAUUCACUUGUCUUUACAUACCUCGCCAACUCAUCCAUCUUAAUUUCACAUAACUAUGGUCAAUGGUCAAAGAUGUUUGAUAUAUUGUGUUUUAAUGAGUGUAAGAGUUCAGUUGAUAAAAUGUUAAGUAGAAUGGUCCAUAAUACAAAUUCAUACAAGUAUAAGGGUUUAUCAGAUCAUUUCGUCAUUACGAAACUUACACGAUCUUUACAUUUUGUACAUAUUUUGUAAAUUAGACGAUCAAAUGAUUCAAACUUAUAAUUAUACCUAUUCAUGAUGUGUAAAAUUUACAAAUUUGAAGUUGCAUAUGAUUGACGUUUGAAAAAAAUAAUAAUUAAACUUUAAUUAUAUGUGCAUAAACUUUAAGUAUAAAUGACUGAAUUCAACCCAAUAAAGCAAAAGUUUCAAGCAAAAAAUGAAUGAAAUUCAAUCUUCACAUAUGCGAAAUAUGUUCCUAUUGCAACUAAAGACAAUUGAUAUUUAAGAACAAGAGAUUUUUCGAUAUCACAAUUGUAUGUUAUUAAUUCAUUAUACUAAAAAUAGUUGUCUCAUAUAAGUUGAUCACUUUACUAAAUCAAGAAAGCAUUAAUUGAUUUUUUCCCCAUAUUAUCCUUGCAAUUAAUUCUUUUUAAAAAUAUUCACACUUAUUUAUAAAGUUCCAAAGAAGUUCUUAAGAGGUGAAUUGGCAAAAUUACCAUCUUAUUUAUAAUUUCUUAAUAUGAGUAUAAAAAAAAUAAUCAAUUAAUAUAGAACGGAGAAAGCAGUAAUUACAAAAUUAAAGCAGGGAAAAGAAACAAAUUACAAAACAAAAGUUACUAAUAAAAUAUAAUAGAUUCAUAUUCAGGUCGAUGAAAAUCGAACUAAUAUGGGACGGAGGAAAUUGUAAUAACAAAAUUAAAGCAGGGAAAAGAAAUAAAUUAAAUAAUAAAAGUUACUACAAAAUAUCAUAGAUUCAUAUUUAGGCCUAUAAAAAUCGAUCCAAAUCAAAAAAUAAUAUUAAAUAAUAAAAGUUACUACACAAUAUAAUAGAUUCAUAUUUAGGCCUAUAAAAUUCUAUCCAAAAAAAAAUAAAAAAAUUCCGUUGCCGGGACUUGAACCCGGGUCUCUCGGGUGAGAGCCGAGUAUCCUAACCAACUAGACUACAACGGAUUGUUGAAUAUUAAUUGAUUAGUUUAAUAAUUAAUCAUUUGAAUAAAAGGAAAAGACGAGUAUCCAUGAUUUGGAUAUUCUCCAAUCAAAGCAUUAUCUCUUUCGAAAUAUAACUUUAUCGCAUUUAGAAUGAGUAUAAAAAGGAAAAAUAAAGGAGAUAAAAACUAAAUGGCUUACUUGUUAACUUCCAUCAUAUAUUGCAACAUUCGAUUCUUACUAUAUUCCUCUAUUUCCAUUCACUUAUUUCAUUUCUUACUAUUCUUGUUUUCCAAAAAAUAAGAUAAUGCAAAUUGAUAUUGAGAUGGAGUCCUUACGAAGGUACUUAUAUUAUCAGAUGAAUCAAAUAAAAAUUUAAUUCUAUUUAGAUAUAUAUCAAGAAGGGAAGAUCUGAGAGACACCAAACAACACCUAAGGUGGGGUAUAAGUUGGGGUGGGGGUGGGGGUGAUUCAUGGAUGAGGGGAGGCUAGGAGACAAAAAGUGCAUGUAUGGAGAUUCUGUUUAUCGGAGGUUCGAGAGUGUAUAUAAAAGUGUGAAGCGAGCUGACAACCCAAAGUGGUGAAAAGGCUAAAGGUCAUAUAUCAUAAUAUAAUAUAAAAAGGUCCGUCAGAGAGAGUCUUGCCUUACUCCUAACUCAAAGCAAAAUUGUAUGCAACCACAUAGAUAGAGUUAAGUCAAUCUCUCUAUUUUCAUCUUGAAAGAUUUGAAAAAAUAUAAUAUGCAUUAUGCUUUCUUUGAUCGCUUUCAUUUUUGGCCUGAUCAGUUAUCGAAAUAGUUAUUUAGCUUGCUUUCUUGGAUCACCUUUUUUUUUUGCUUUGGCCAAACACCUUUUUCUCAUUAAUCAAGCGAUGCAAUAACAUAUUAUAGGUGGAAGUUGCAUAAUUUUCUAGGACUCUGUUAACAUAUUAUAAAGGGAAAAAUGUCUGAAAAAUACUUCAACUUUGAUCGAAAUUGAUGUUACGAUACCAAACUUUAUGGAAGACUUUUUAGCCCCUGCACUAUUUAAUAAUGUAUUUAAAAGAUAUAUAUGUGCUCACGUGGACACGUAAUAUUUAUAAUUAUGCAAUAUUUAUGAUGUCCACGUGGGCAUAUAUAUACCUUUAAAAUACAUUAUUAAAUAGUGUAGGGGGUAAAAGGUCAUAUUCAAAGUUUGAUAUCGUUACUGUAAUUUCGGUCAAAGUUCGAAUAUAUUUCAGACCCUUUUUCCUGUUAUAAAAGAUGCAACAUAAUUAGAGGUACGUAUGACAUAAUUUUCAAAUUGAGCUAUUUUAGACUAAAUAGCUCAAUUUUUGGAUAAAUUAAAUUUGAAUCAAAUCCAUUUGAAUUUGAACAAGUUUAAUAUGACAUAAUUUUCACUUGCGACUAGUUAGUAUCAACAACAUUUUUUACUUGCUGGCUAGUUCUAUUGCGUUGAAAUAAUUAAUGAUAUCGAAAUUUAUUUUUUGAAGAAGGGAUAUUAAUUGAAUGCAGGUUAUAAUUUUGAGGUCAGUCUCAGCUCCAGCUCACCUGCCAUCUUUGAUCCAGUCAUCUCACACUUAUUACAGCACAUCACUUUAUUAUUAGCCUCUACGAUACGGUAUGAGAUCGUUUGGUUGAUAGUUGGAUAAGAAAUAAAUUAUUAAUGUAUUAAUUUUUAUAUAAUUUAUGGAUAAUAAACACAUCAUAAUAUCAUAUCAUCCGUAAACUAAUAAAAUACCUAAUACAAGCCACCACUGAUCAAUCAUGACAACAAUAUAAAACCAAUAACAAUAAUAUUAAUGACGACAAUGAAGAAAUAUCACGGUCUUAUGAUGUAUUUAGCCAACAGUUUGAUGUCAUGUGUAUCAUUAGCAGAAUUCCUUUGGAUUUACAGCAUGAAACUUACCUAAUUCUAUUUCUAUAAACAAACAAAUGGAGUAAUAAUUAUUUUAAAGAAAAUAAAAACUAGUGUUUGAUUCUUUUGGUAUGGUUGGUUAGUCAACACAAAUUAAGAGUGGUAUGGCCUUUAUUAUAUUUUCAGUAGGGCAUAAUGUGAGUAGUUUUGGUAUCAUAACUCGCCAAACACGACUUUGAAUAAUUCUUAUCUUUAUUAUUCACCACGCGCAAUGCUUUGACUAAUUCCCCACACAUCUGCCGUACCCCCGCGGAGCAAUCACUCUGCAUUACCAGUAACACUUUUGUUAGCCCAUUUGCCUUUCCCACCACCUCACGCGCCUCCGUAUCACGAAACAAGCAGCACACGCUCCACAGUACUGUCACCCCGUGCUCUGUCGCUGCUUUCGAGCUCUUCAUCAGCCUUGUAACUAUCACCGACAAGCACUCUUCGCCUUUACCUAUCGCCGACCUGCCUUCCGUACACGUCGCUACUGUUUCCAACAGCUUCAAUGACUUCUCCACCACCGCCCGAGCGGUUUCCGAACCGCUAAGGAUUUUCCCGAUGGUUUGUACAAUUCCGAACCGGACUAGCUCUUUUUUCGCCGGUCUGGUGGUUGAGACCGCGAUUAGAGUUGAUAAACCGGCUUCGAUCGCGAACCGGUUCGUCUCCGUGCUAGUGAAUACGUGCAAUUCGUAGAGUAAACCUUGCUCCUCGACCAUUUUUCGCUGCGAAUCCGCGUCUAAUGCGAUGAAUUCUAGAAUCCGAGCGGUUUGAAUCCUCGAACUCAACUUUCCUUUUCGAAGAAUCAAAAGAAACUUCGGCAGAAAUUUCCUAUCGCUCUUCAAAAUCUCUUUGUUCAACUGCUCUUUCACUUCAUUUUCCGAUACAACCAAAUCCAAAACCGCAACAACCGCUUCACAAACCUCAACCACAUCACAAUCCACCAAAACUCCAACAACACUCACAAUCGCAUCACUCAAAUUCACAAAAAACCUCCUGUUUUCACCAGAACAUUUAACAAAUUCCACAAUCUUCGCCAAGGAACUCAACCUAUCGACCUCGCCGUUGAGACUUUUGACAAUUUCAACAACUUCCGACUUUGUAACAGAGGAUGAAGACGGCGUUGUGGAUCCCGGUGAGCUCGCCGGCUGAUGCUGAAUCCAGACGUUGAUAAGCCGACGUAGAGUGAGGUUAGGUGUGAAAUCGGUAGACGGAAGGAUUUGCAUAGUGGCGGGACAAGUAUUAUGACCUUGUGAAAGCCAAGUUUGAAUGGAACUCCGAUCGUAAGUGACGCCGGUGCAGAGACUCACCGGUGACUUCAUUACGUCCAUGGAUAUCGGACAUCGGAAAAGGCUGGGAACGGUAACGUAUAAUUCUUCUCUCCUAUUUCUCACCAUUUUUAGCUAUCCUUUAGUGAUUUGUGAGAAUAUUAUUCGUGUGGAUGUUUAUAAAAGGGAGAGUCAAAGUGGGGCUUAGGUGACGUCGUUUUGGUCAACUAUAUUGGUUAGUUUAAUUAAACAAGUGGAUUUCUUUUUCAUAUUCCACAUAACAUAAUGCGCUAUUCUUUUUUUUUCCUUUCUUUCUAUUUUAAAAUUUCUCUUGGUUUAUUUAUCACUUGCAAGACUUCAAAACUUAGAGUUGUGACGCAAUAUAUUACUUCUUUCGUCUCAAUUUAUAUAAUAAUGUUUUAAUAAAUAUAAUUUUUUGAAAAUUAUUGUUAUUAGUACUUUCUUCGUUUAAAAAAUAAUUUUUUUUUCUUCUUAGUCUGUUUCAAAAAGAAUGACCUUUUUCUUUUUUUAGUAACAUUUUAAUUUUAGCUUUCCACGUGGCACGUUUAAAGCCACAAGAUUGAAGGACAAUUUAGUACAUUUGACAUAACUUUAAUUUAAAAUCACAAGAUUCAAAAAAUUUCUUUAUUUUUUAAAAUUUCGUAUCAAGUUAAAUUAUGUAACUCUUUGUGAAACGGAGGGAGUAUUAUUUAUGAAGUAGAGUAGUGUGUUGUGAAUUUUUGGGUAAACGUGUAAAACGGGAAAAGGGGGGCGACAACGAGUCCAAGUUUUCGGGUUUGGUCAAGUGGACCCCACACGUUGAAAAUAAUGAUAUUCUUGGGGCCAUUUAAUUCAGUAAAGUCAAAGUGUCAAACACUUCAGCUAUUUAUUUUUUUUAAAAAUCCUUUAUGAAAAAAAAAACUAACUUUUAAUUUAAUUUUAGCGCGUUUGGUAGCUUAAUGAUCCAUAGAUUCAAUAUUAAAAAAAAGAGUACUAUAUACUUUAUCCAUUUUUUAAAUUUAUUUGUCUAUUUCUUUAGUACGGGGUUUUAAAGAGUAAAAAGAAAUAAUUAAAUCUUAUAAUUUCAAAAUAAAAGAUAUAUAUCAAAAUAAUUUUUAAUCUUAUAAUAUUAAAAAUUAUUACUAUUAUUAUUAUUGGUCUAUUUUCUCCUUCUAUUAAAACCUUUUCCCCAAUUUAUCCGUUUUCAGUAUAUACCCAUACUAAACUAAUCAAUUCAAUUCUUUAGAGUUACAAAUUAAAGUAAAAUCAAUAUAGUAUAGUCAUCUAAUAGUUCAGAUUUAUUUGUCAUCUUGCGUUUUUCGAAAGUUAAUUUGACUAAUUUCUAAAGUAAAAUAGAUUACAUUAAUUUGAUAUUUUAAACAAAAAAUUUAGAUAUUUAAAAACUAUACAAAAAGUAUUAUAAAUUUCAAUUUUUCGCAUAUUAAUAUGAUGAAAAAAUAUAUCGUAAAAUGUUAGUCAAAGUUUUUUAUAGUUUGAUUCUAAAAAAAAAACUAUGGCAAUUAAAAGUAGACGGAGGUAGUAAUUUAUAGUCAUGGUACAUGUUUUAUGUUCAUGAGAUUGGUAUGUGAACACCAUAAUCGAGAUGAAUUUUUCUUUUUUGAGUUACAAUUUUUUUUCACGAAAAUAUAUUUGUACAGAUAAGCGAAGUUUCAUAGAGUAUUGUAUAUCUUAAUUCUCAUAAAAUUAUAAAAGCAUUAGAUCCGACUUUUAAUUAUGCUUUUGUUUUUUUAUUUUCUUUUGAAACUAAAUCAUUCUCACUACUUAUAACCAAAAAAUUUCUUCCAAGAUUAAUUUUAGUUAUUAAUGCUUUGGACCAUAAAUGGAGAAUUUAUCGAGGACAAAUUCAUUUUAACUAAAAUAUUCAUUCCCCAUUAAGGUACAUUAAUAUUCUACGCAAUCUUAGGUGAAGAAAGGAUUUCGAAUGUUCGUACUCGUCAUGCUCCAUUUCAAUAUAAAUGAAUUUUCAACACUCUUUGUGAAUUAAAAUGAAUAAAUUUUCAAAUUCAAAAGUAUAUUAUUUUAUUUAUUUUUAAAUUUAUCCUUAAUUUUAACAAAUCUACUCUAUUUAUUGUCUUUACAUAGAAUUAAUACAAACACAAUUCUUACUUAAUCACGAUAUAUAUAAUUAUUAUCACUUAAUCUUGAUUAAGAGAUAUGUUAUUACUUUAAUUUAUACUCCAUUAAAUUAUAUUAUAAAAUUUAGUGUUCAGCAAUUACUUUAAUUUAUACUCCAUUAAAUUAUAGAGUAAAUUUUAUGUAUAGCAAAUAUAAAAUUCAUAAUUGUAUGUUAUGGCUAUAGUUUAUAUAAUUGCACUCCAUAGCAAAAUUUUAGUUUGCUAUGGAGCUGUCUUUCUGUAUAUCUCGGUAUUUCUUCAAUUUUAUAUACAUUUUUGAUUGUUUAAAAAAUUAAAUAAAAAGGCGAUAAUUUCGGUUAGAAAAAAAUUCACUGAAGUCACGCACAUUCUGUUUCAAUCGAAUUUCCUACCUUCUACGUCUUCUUCAAUAGUAAGAACUCCAUUGUAACUCAGUUAAGAAAAUCGAUCAAGCUGUUGACGGUACUAUACAAACAAUCGAGAUCAUAUUGAUUUUAGAGAUAACAACAGGAGGUAAUUUCAUGACGAAAAAAUUCUCUGAUUUUGUUUUUUCUGGUCGAAAUUGGUGUUCAACGUGUAUUCAAAAUCAGAUUUCCUUUUUAACUUUCAUCAAUUUCAAUUGAAUGUAGAUUCAAAGGUGUAUAUCUUGUUCGUAAUAGAGUUUAACACUUAUGAUUUGUAUAGUUAAUUUGAAAUCUAGGAAAAUUUGUGAUUUGCAAAUUUUCUAGAUGAAAUUGUUGAUUAUUUUGAAUUUGUGAUCGGAUAUUCAUUCUUUUCACAGUAAUAUUUUUGUUCGAAUUUGUAUAUUUGAUGUCGAAACUAUGAAUGAAGAUGAAACUGCAUUAUGAUUUGCUUAGAGUUUAUACGUAUAGGUGUUUUAAAUAUGAUUCAGUAAGAUAUGUAUAAUUCGUAUAUGAAACUAUUGACUUUUUAUUUUGAAUUUGUAUAUUUAUACAGUGCAGGUUCAUCCUAAUUUUGGAUAUAUGAUUCUUAUACAAAUGCAAAAACCUAUAUUGUGUGAAAGUAACAGUACCACUACACUGUGUGAAAUUGUAAAUUUGUGUAUAAAGAUUUAAUUUGUGUAUAUAAUGAUUUAUAUAAUUGUAUAUUCAGAAUAUGUAUAUAAAUGAAAAACUAAAUUCCCUGUACGUUAUAUACAUAUACAUAUUAGUGAUGUUGUGACAUGUAUAAGUAUGUGAAACUGUUGACUGUUUAUUAGAAUUUGUAAGUUAUAUACAUAUACCGAUUAGUGUUGUUGUGAGUUGUAUAAGUAUAUGAAACUGUGGAUUGUUUAUUCGAAUUUGUAUAUUUAUACAGAGCAGGUUAGUCCUUAUUUUGGAUAUUUGAUUUUGUAUAUUUAUAUACAAUAGGUAUAUGUAUAUGUCAAUUAUUUUAGAUUUGUCAAUUGUAUAUUUGUAUAAAGUUUUAAUUUGUGUAUAUAAACGUUUAUAUAAGUAUAUAAUGGGAAUAUGUAUAUUACUGAAAAACUGAAUUCACUAUAAUUUGUGGAAUUGUAUAUGUCUGAAUGAACAUUAUACAAAAAGUAUCCUUAUACAAAUGCAAAAACUUAUACAUAAAACAAUGCACAAAACUGUAUCGAAUGUAUAAAUGUUUAUACUGUAUAUAUAUAUAGAAGUUGUUGUGACACUACUAAUACAAUAACUAUUAAUAUUAUACAUUAUACAACCAAUUUCAAAUGUAUAAUUGUUUACCUUGUAUGUAUAGUUAAAUAGUUCUAUUUUAUACAUUUAACUUUGGAUAUUAACAUAGUGACUAUAUAAAACUGUAUAAACAAACAGAUAGAAGACAUGAAUCAACACAGAAAAUAUAAGAAAAAUAUAAAAUCGUAACAUAUACAAAAAUAAUGAUUAUACAAAUACCUCAUCAUGCUCCAAUGAGCCAGAAACAACCACUUCCUUUCUUUUUGCAUUGUCAUCUGUAUAAUUAGUUGUUUUUUCUUCUUUUUUUUACUUGACCCAGUAUGAGACUGAUCUUUCUUACCUCCCUCCACAAUUUUGAUGUUGGAUUGCUUCGAUUUUGCACUCAUUUCCUCCAAUCUGAUUGGGUCAUUUUUCAAUUUGGAUUUGAUCUCUUGCAUUGCGUUGGAUUUGGACAUUGAACCUGCAACCUUCCCAAAAUCCCGAGUUAAACCCAAGGAAAACGAUGGGUGUUCAACAAUAUUUCGACAUGCAAGGGUAUACCUCUUGUGAAUCUUUUAGAUGGAGACUGGCAUCCAUUGUUUGAAUGAAAACUCUGUAUGGAUUAUGAACUGAUAGUGAAAAAUAGCUUAGCAAAAAACUGAAAAAAAUAGACAAAAAUUUAAAUUAAUCGAUUGAGAUAAGUUUUGGCGGUGCCUGAAAUUUUUGAAGGGAUUUUGAAAUCGCGAUUGAGAACGUGCAGGUGGAGAUUUGAAAUUUCAAACUGAUUUUGGGGAGAAAUUGAAGGAAAUAGGAGAUAUAAACGAGGAGAAGAGAUUGUAUAAAAAGGGAAUAACGUCAGUUUUUUUUUAACUUAUACAAAUCGGUGGGGCCCAUUAAUAGCAAACUGACCAAGACUUUGCUCCUUAAAGGAAAUAAAUGAAACGAUAGCUACUUUAUUUAUUUUACAUUAAUAGUUUGCUAUUAUGUACAAUUAUCCCUAAAUUAUAUUAUAAAAUUUAGUGUUAAUGCUGAAUAGGGAAAAUUGUAUGAAAUAACAAACUAUUAAUUUAAAUUAAAUGUUAUAGCCAUAGUUUAUUUUAUUUGUAAUUCGCAGCAAACAUCUCAUUUUUUUGCCAUCUGAUUCGGUAUACAAUUACCCAUUCGUUAUACAAAUGUAUAAAAUGUGUUUGUGUUUUUAUUAAAGCGAGAGAAAAGUGUAUAUACAAAUACAAAUACAUAUAUUUUUGUCCUAUACACUUAUAAUUAUACAAAUAUAGAUCUUAUUAUACAAUUACAAUGUAUAAAUGAAUUUAUACAAAAUUGAACAUUUUGUAUAAAAAUUGGAUGUAUCUAGCGAAUUAUACAAAUCAAAAAGCUCCAUAGCAAACAUAAAAUUUGCUAUGGAGCGCAAUUAUACAAACUAUAGUUAUAACAUACAAAUAUGAUUUUUAUGUUUGUUAUAUGUAAAAGUUGCUCCAAUAAUAAUAGCACAAGAAAACAUCUAUAUUGCACAUUUUGUCUUAACCGAAGAGAAAGGAAAAUAGUUUUUUUAUUUGACUGUUUUGGUUGUUCUUUCAAUAAUCCAAUUGAUUAACAUGAUUCAUUAUAUAACGUAAGAUGAACUUCUAAGAAUAAAAUUUGAUAUACAAUUGACAAUACUAUGAACCAAAUUUAAUUUAUAAUAUUCGUAACAAAAAAAUAUGAAGACGUGACAAUUUUUUUAUAUAACGAGAAAUUUAUUUUUAAUAUAAAUGCGAUUGACUAGGUUUUAUUCUCAAUUAGCUACUCGAUGCCUGAAAGGUUAAUUAUCUCCAUUUUUUGGUUCUAUCUUUCAACGUUUUGUGUAAUAUUUCUGGUCAAAAAAUUAUACUCCAUGUUUUCUCAUUGUCAUGUUUGAAUUGAUUUCUAAUCAAUUUUAAAAUUGGACUAACAAUAAUGUUUUUGCGUGACAAAGACGAUUAUAUAUUUAUAUUUAUAUAUAGACAAGUUUUUAAUAUAUGGACGUAACCAUACAGACAUUAAUGCUUUCUAAUUUCAAUUUGUGAGUUUUAGUCUACAUAAAAAUAGUCAAACCAAUAAUACUAUAUGAAGACAAAUAAACAAGUUAUUGUUCUUCUUUCUAAUUUUUAAUAGUUCAACAUAAUUAGAAAUUCAUUAGUUUUUUUUUUUAAUAAAUCAACAAAAUCAAUAAACCGAAUAGUUGGUAAAUGUAAUUUUUUCUGUUAUUAAAUUGCCAAAAGGUUUUCAUAACUCCACAACUAGUACGAAUACUAAAAUUAAAUAAUUUACAAAAGCACUUACAAUGACUUAGCAUCUUUCUAUUGAGCCUAAUUAAAAUUUCUAUUUAUACGUUUUUAUUUGUGGUUCAUAUGGAGCUAACGUCAAAAAGUUUUUGUUGCAUUGUUCAGCGGCGGUUCAAUGUCUUUAAAAAUGAUGCAUUCGUCUUAGGCCUCAAACUUGUGGGGCCUAUUUUUAAUAAUAUAGAAUUAUUGUAAUUCCUUUUUAAUAAAUAAAAUAAAAUUGUAUUGAGUCUUUCAUUUUAUUUGUCUUUUUUUUUAGUUCAUUUCAAAACAUUAAAGAAUGUUUCUUUCUUUUUUAUCAAUUUUUACAUUUAACUCUACAUGACAUACUUAAGAUUACAAGAUAUUUUUUUUUUGAUAUAUAUAUAUAAUUUAAGACCAUAGAAAAAAUAAAAAAAUAAAAAAAUUCAAUAAAAAAAAAAUAACUUUGCAUCUGAAAAAAAGUACAAAUAAAAAUAAUUAAGAGUUAGACCUCCAAUUUAUUUUUUGCUUUAGCUCACUAAUUAGUUUGAACCGUCAUUAAUAUUGUUACUUUUAUAAUCUAAGGUUUGCUGAUUUGUUCAAUAUCCUGAAUUAGGAUAUGUUGAUGAACAAUUCCUUGACUCUAGAAUGUUCUAUGAACUAAGAGCAGAGAGUUGAGAGAAAAUGUAAUUGCAUCUGUUAAUUAACUCCAACUGAGUGUUUGUUUACAUAUAUACAUGAAUAGGAAAGUAUCUUCUAACUACCCUAACUAACUUUAGCUAACUAGUCCUCUAGAUUAUACUAAUUACAUAUUGACCCCAAAUCACUCACGUGAUGCCUUCUUUAAUACCCCCUCAAGUUUGAAGGUAUGAACAGGUUCAUUACACCAAACUUGGAUAACAAAUGUUCAUGUUGAGACUUCCUUAGACCUUUAGUUAGCAUGUUAGCUUUUUGCUCCUUGGUGUGUAGAUACUUUGUUUCAAUUAGUCCUUGUUGAAUCUUCUCUCGUAUGAAAUGACAAUCCAGCUCGAUAUGCUUUGUUCUUUCAUGUAGUACUGGAUUGGCAACAAUUUGUAUUGCUGAUUUACUGUCACUGUAGAUGCUAACUGGAGUUUAAACUUUAGCUCCCAGUUCCUUGAAUAACUUGACUAUCCAUGUAACUUCAGCUACAACACUUGCUAUACUUUUAUACUCAACUUCAGCUGAACUUCUAGAUAUUGUUGCAUGCUUCUUUGACUUUCAAGAGAUCAAUGACUCUCAUAGCUUCACCAUAAAACCUGAAACUGAUCUCCUUCUAUUGGGGAAUCCCCAUCCGCACCCGAAUUGGCUAAAUCUAGUAUAGUGGGUCUUGUUCCGAUAUGCUACCCAAUAUGCAUCACAGUAAACUCUCAACUGUUUGGGGCUUCUGCUGGACAGUAGUACUCCUAGUCCUGCUUGUCCUUUUAUGUAUCUUACAACUUUAAGUGCAACAUUUAGAUGAGAUUGCUUUGGCUGGUGUAGAAAUCGACUCAGUGUUUGGGUGACAAAUGAAAUGUCUGGUCUUGUAACAUUAAGAUACAAUAGCUUGCCAACUAGUCUCCUAUACACAGUUGCAUCUUCCAGUAGCUUAUCUUCAUGGCCUUUCCUAUUUAGAUCAUCAUACUCCUUAGUUGUUAGCUGGACAUAGGGAUCAAAUGGUGUAGAGGCUGGUUUAGCAGCACCAAGACCAACCUCAUAAAUGAUUUUCAAGGUGUAUUUUCUUUGAUGCAUGACAAUACAUUCUUGUGACCUGGAAAAUUCAAUCCCAAGGAAGUACCUUAAGUCUCCUAAAUCUUUCAUCUUGAAAGUAUUCUGUAAUGUUCCCUUUAUUGUUUAUAUCAGAUUGAGAUCAUUUCCAGUGAUCAUCAUAUCAUCUACAGAGACCAGAAUUAUCACCAAGGAUUCACCGGUCCUUUUUAUAAACAGUGAGUAAUCUAGAUGGCUUUGAACAAAACCAAGUUUGAGGAGUGCCUUUGUGAGUUUUACAUUACAUUGUCUAGCAGCUUGUUUUAAAUCAUAUAAGAAUUUAAUGAGCCUGCAUACUGGUUUCUCCCCCUGCACAUUAAAGCCUUUAGGAGCCUGAAAGCCUUGAGGAAGUGUCAUAUAAACUUCUUCAAGUAGGUCACCUUGAAGAAAAGCAUUUGAAACAUCCAUCUGAUAGAUAUGCCACUGCUCAGUAGCAGCAAGUGCCAAGACACUUCUGACUGUAACCAAUUUAACCACAGGGGAGAAGGUCUCUUGAUAAUCAAUACCCUCUCUUUGAUUGAACCCUUUAGCAACCUAUAUAGCUUUAAAUCUGUCCACCUCACCGAAAGCUAGAUAUUUGAUCUUGAAUACCCAUUUGCAGCCAAUAGCCUUCUUGCCUGGAGGCAAAGAGACAAUGUUCCAGGUGUUGUUGGCAUCCAGGGCUGAGAUCUCAGAGGUCAUAACAUCCACCCAUCUUGGAUCAGAAUAUGCCUCCUCAAAGGUAGAAGGUUCAACAUCAUUGCCAAAGUUUGAGGGAUAAACAUGGUAAGAAGUAUGCAGAUGAUCAUAAGUAACAUAAUUGUCAAUAGAAUAAGCUAGCUUGGUGACAAUCUUGAGCUUUGUAGCUGCUACAUAAUCCUUCAUCCAAACGGGGGCUCUGCUACUCCUUGAGGAUCUCCUUUGUUCAGGCAAGAAAUGAACACCUGAUGGGGAUGGAGAUAGUGCAGGCACAAUAGGUUCAACCACUGUAUAAGUUGAAGUGCUAGGAUCAGAAUCAAUGUCUCGUGAGAAAGUGGUAGGAAAUAACUUUCAUGCAGUGAAGGCUGGAACUGCAAAGGGAAACAUAGUUUCUCUAAACAAAACAUCUCUGUUGAGAAAAAAAUAUAUGUCCUUCAGAUCAUACAAUAUAUACCCUUUGGUAUUCUCACUGUAUCCCAUGUGGAUGGCAACUACACUUCUAGGUUGAAAUUUAUCCUGAAUAUACAUAUUCUUGGCAAAGCACAAGCUACCUAGAACCCUUAGAUGCUGAAGUGAAGGCUGCUUCUUAUGAAUAACUUCAUAAGGAGAUUUGCCAUAUAACACAGGUGUAGGAAGUUUAUUAAUGAUAUAUGCAACACUCAGUAUACAAUGUCCCUACAAUCUGAUGGGAAUAUGACCUUGGAAUUCGAUUGCCCUAGCUACCUCCAAUAUAUGUUUAUGUUUCCUCUCAGCAAUCCAAUUUUGCUGAGGAGUGUGAAUACAAGUUCUUUGAUGAACAAUGCCAAGACUGGUGAACAACUUGUGGCAUUUAAUAUUAACAAAUUCAGAAUCAUUAUCAGUUUUGAUGGUCUGAACCCUGAAGAUAAAUUGAGUUUGUACCAAAAUGAAGAAGUUUUGCAACACAACACAAACAUCACUUUUCAAUUUGAUUAGAAAUAACCACAACAUUCUUGUACAAUCAUCAACAAUAGUUACAAAGAAUCUAUUACCAUCAUGAGUAGGAGUAUUAAAGGGACCCCAAACAUCAAUAUGUGGAAAUGAAUGUUAGACAUGGAAGUACUAUGAACAAAGGGUAGUCUAUGUUGUUUAGCAAGUGGACAAAUUGUGCAAGUAUGCACUUCUUUAGAACAUUGAGUGACAGGGAAAUCAAAAACAUGUGUCAGGACACUAGGUGAUGUGUGACCUAGUCUUUGAUGCCAUAGUAAGACUUGGGAAUCUGAUUGAGUUUCCUUAUUAGCCUCUGCUGUGAAACACUGAGUGAGUUUGCCUCUACUGACCUUGUGAGUAGGUAAGUGAUAAAGACCUGUAUUAUCUCUAGUAAUCCACUUCACCUGCUCACUGUAGAGGUCCUGAAAUAUGAAAAAGUUAGGAAAGAAAGAAACAACAUAAUUUAAGUCCUUAGGUAGUUUGGAGACUGACAGAAGGUUGAACUUAAAAUCAGGAAUUAAGAGGACUUUUUUUAUUGUGUCAUGUGGAGUCAUAUGAAAAGAGCCUAUAUGUGUAACAGUAGCAGUAUCUCCAUUUGGUAAAUAUACUCUCCUAGGUCUAUCUGGUGAAAGUUGUUGUUUAUAAUCAAGCAUAGUAGAGGAAGAUGGCAUAUGGUUAGUAGCACCUGAGUCUAUAAUCCAUCCUUGUUGCUUAGUAGUGACUGUGAGUGCAAUAUCCUUACCUGAUGAGGAUGAACACUCCUGAGCUAGAUUUACACCUCCAGUAUUAUUAGGGUGAGAUGCAGCUGAUCCCUCAGCUCCUCCCUGAAUAUUAGCUUGUCCAAGCAUUUGUAGUAUCUGAUUAUAUUGAUCAUGUAUGGAACUCAUACAUCAGGUGUAGUCAGUGUGAUCCAACCUUCCACUGGAAAAUAAGUUGUUGCUACUGUGAUUUGGGUCUCCUGUGUACCUGUGCUCUUGUUCAUCAUUGACAGCACUAUGAGCAGCCUGAAAUUGUCUUCUCUCAUUGUUAUUCUUUCCUCAUCCAUAUGCAGAUCCUUUCUUCUGCCUUUCAAGACCAGGAGGAUAUCCAUGAAGUUGGAAACAAAUAGCUUGAGUGUGUCCUAUUCCUUUACAGUAAUCGCAGAAUGCAUGGGGAUCAUAGCUAGAGAUGUUAGGGGAUUUAUGUUUAUGAACUUGCAUGUGUUGGUGAAUUUCGAGUAGUGAACAUUGCAUGUAAUUCAGCAUGUCCACCACUAGUAGUCUGUGAAAUCCUACGCUGACUUUCUCUCUCAAUCGUCAUAAGAAUAUGACCUCGUGCUUGAUCAUAUGAGUCAUUAAGACCCAUAAGAAACUGCAUCAGCUUUUAAUUAUGCAUGAAUGCUACAAAAUCUCUUGAAUAAUGGCAUUACAUCGUACCCAUAGAGUUUUUAGAUUUUCCCCAUACACUUCCUUUUUGCAGGAUCCAUCGAUGAAUCUGAGUUUGCUUCUUCCCAUAAUUGUUAUUCGCAUGACUCUGCUCCACACAGAGAAAUUCUCAGAUCCAGUUAGCUGAAUUGAAAUCAACAUAGCACAUGAAUUGUCGAUGUUAUUCAAGAACAGAGGAUGAUUAUGGCUCAGUUUUUUUGGGUAACUCAUUAUCGACAGUUGCCAUGACUGUACCAAUUCCUCAGAAGAUAACACAGAUUGUGCGUGGUUGAUCGCAACUACAAUCACUACAGUGAUUGACGAUGCUCUGAUACUAUGUUCAAUAUCCUAAAUUAGGAUAUGUUGAUGAACAAUUCCUUGACUCUGGAAUGUUCUAUGAACUGAGAGUAGAGAGUUGAGAGAAAAUGUAAUUUGUUUACAUAUAUACAUGAAAAGGAAAGUAUCUUGUAACUACCCUAACUAACUUUAGCUAACUAGUCCUCUAGAUUAUACUAAUUACAUAUUGAUCCCAAAUCACUCGCGUGAUGCGUUCUUUAAUAUGAUUUACCUUAAGAAAUUAAAUUUUUGAUUUAAUUGUAAGAAAAUGAUAGAGGUUACAUGUGUAUUUAUAAGGUUGAAUUCGAGGAUUUAAAUUUUCAUUUUCAUUUGAAAAUUCAAAUGGUAUUGGAUGAAUUGUGAAUUGUUAGGUUCAAAUUUUGAUUGGAUGAAUUGUGAAUUGUUGGGUUUAAAUUUUGAUUGGAUUAGAAGAAUUCAAGGAUUGAAAACGUUAAACAGACGGUUCAGAUUUUUAAGUUGAGAAAUUCAAUUGUUCAAAUUUUUAUUUGACUAAGGAGUUUGUUGAUUUACAUGAAGAAAUUAGAAAUUUGAUUUAAGAAGAAAAAUCAGUUGUAUUAGUGAAAUCUUAAUCCUCUAAGGCUUUAAUAAUAAGCAAGAAAUAAUAACAAUAAGAAAGACUUCUAUGCAGCUUUUGAAGUAUUCGACAAACUGUCAAUUUGUUUUGACUUACUUCAGUGGAUAUGAGUCAAACUAAUUAAUGUUUGAAGUAAAUGCAGAUAUAGAAACAUAAUUUUUAAAAAGUAAAAUUUACAUAUUUAGAAUAUGAUAAGUUUCAAUAAUUAAUAAUUCGAAAUAUUUUUAAAAAUAUAGUUAAAGAAAAUAUUUUUUGAUUAUCUAAAUAAUAAUUAAGAUAAACAAAUUAAAAUGAAAGGGAAUAAUACAAUAGCGAACAAGCAGUUUCUCGUUGGAUUUCAAUCUUGGUGGAAAAAACAAUGCGUGUGUGUGUAGCGUGGGAGUGUUCGUGUGAAUAUAUGAAAAUUCUACAAUAAAGUUUAUUGAGUUUGACUAAUUAGUAGUCCAAUCCUAAAUUCUAUUCUUCAUGUUCAUGGAUGGCUAAGGAUAGUAACAGGGCGGGGUGGAUGUCGGAUGGGAUGGAUUUAAGGCUAUGCGGGAUGGGGUGGGAUGGGUUUGAGGUGUGCAGAUCGGGAGGGAUACAAGGCGGGUUGAAGUGAAUUUUAAAAAAAUUAAUGUGAGGUGUGGGGGGGGGGGGGGACGGGUNNNNNNNNNNNNNNNNNNNNNNNNNNNNNNNNNNNNNNNNNNNNNNNNNNNNNNNNNNNNNNNNNNNNNNNNNNNNNNNNNNNNNNNNNNNNNNNNNNNNNNNNNNNNNNNNNNNNNNNNNNNNNNNNNNNNNNNNNNNNNNNNNNNNNNNNNNNNNNNNNNNNNNNNNNNNNNNNNNNNNNNNNNNNNNNNNNNNNNNNNNNNNNNNNNNNNNNNNNNNNNNNNNNNNNNNNNNNNNNNNNNNNNNNNNNNNNNNNNNNNNNNNNNNNNNNNNNNNNNNNNNNNNNNNNNNNNNNNNNNNNNNNGGGCGGUGGGGGGGGGGGGGGGACAAGUUACGGGUAUAUGUAAUUUUAUGCGGGUACAAACUUAAUUUUAUUUUUUUUACAUGUUAUAAGAGUAAUAGAACAUUAUUUAUUAAGAUAAUUUCUUUAAAACUACUAAAAUAUUCAAGAUAGUAAAUAAAAUGGUUCAAUAAAAAAUAAUACAAUUUCUUAUAUGUUUCUCAAUUGACCUCUAAAAAAUAAAUUUUAAAGUCAUUAUCUAUUAAAUUAAUAUAACUUAAUGAACCAAUUAAUUUAUUUUUAUGAAUUUUUUUUUAGUAUCAAACUUAACCAGAAAAAGAAAAUAUUAAAAAAAUUAUGCGAGGUGGAGUGGGUUGAAAAUGAAAAAAGUUGUUAUGCGGGACGGAUAAACAAUUUUGCGGGUUAAGCUUAACCUGCCUCGACCCCGUCCCGCACCGCCCUAGUGUCAUCCCUAUGGAUUGCUCAUUCACACCUGUGUGUACUAUUUUUUUCUUUUUUUGAAAAAGGUAUCAUCUCAAUUUAUGUGAUUUUUUUUUGUCUUCAAGAGUCAAAUUGAUCAAAUUUUGUUAUUUUGGAUUAGAUCAACUCAAUAUUUUAAAACUAAAACUUAGACAUUUAAAACCUAUACAAAAAGUACUAUAAGUAACAAUUCUUCUAAUGUCAAUAAGAUGAAAAAAUAAUAAUUUAAAAUAUCGAUUAAACUUUACAUAGUUUAAAUUUGAUAAAGCGAAAAAUGUUAAAUAAAUUGAAACAAAAAACGCAUUUUCAUGUCAGACCUAUUUUUGGGUUAAUGAUUUGGAACUUGGGUUUGGCCAAUUUUUUAAAAGGGUGAAACAAUAACUUGAUAAUAAUUUAAUUAAUUACCAUUCUACCCUCACUUAACUAAUUCACUUAGGAAUGGCUAUAGAUUGUAUGAGAAAUAUGUUAUUUGUUAAUAUCAACUAUACAUGUUUGAGAAAUUGGUUUGGACUUUACAGUUACCAUUGUAAAAAAUAAAAAUAUAAUUUGGUUUGCACUUUUUCACUGUUAAUAUAAAUUCAGAAAAUGAUUUAUGAGAAAUUCAUAAAUUCACUAUAUAUAUUUAUCUAGAAAUCCUUGCACUUUUUGUUACACCUUGUUUAAGUGGUUCUCAAUGAAAUUUUUUCCUUGUGAAAUGUUAAUGGUUAACCUGAUAUCAACCAAAUCGAUAAGGAUCACUAACCAAUAGGCAAUAACCCACUAAUCGAUAUCUUAGUGGUUUUUUUUAUUGAUUUAGCAUGCCUACGAAUCGAUAACUUUUAAAAUCGAACCGAACCCUGACCUCAAUACUGUCAUAGGAAUUUUUUGGUAGAUCUUCUUUUCUUUUCUCAUAGUUGGAUUUCAAAACACACAAAUAACUCUAAAUUUAGAAGCAAAGUUAAAUUUUGUAAGUGAAAACUCUUGUUUCACUUGAAACACUCAAAAUAUAGAACAAUUUGCAUACAUUGUUUUUGCUAUAUAUGGAUAUGAGUUGAUUAUAAUGCAAUGAGCCAAUGAAUAUACACCAUUUGACUAGGGUCUAUUGGAAACAAACUCUCUACCUUCAAACUAGGGAUACAAUUUGCAUACUCUCUACCCUCCUCAUAUACAUUGGGUAUGUUUGUACUGUUGUUGUUGUUGAAUCUACGCUAUUUGAAGACAAAAAUUUCAAUCACUUAGUCCACCAUUUUUUAUAUUGUAUGUAUAAUCAUGUAUACCAAUGUAUAGUCAUGUAUAACAGUCACUGUAUACACAAAAUAUACAUGGUUAUACACGGGUAUACAAAACAUAUACAAUAAAUAUACAUAAUUAUACAUUAGAUAUAUAAGGCUCAUACACAUCAUAUAAACCUCUUUCCUCCCCCAUCAAAAUUCAAAGAAGAAGAACAAGAGAAUAAUAUCUUACAACUUAAAACCAUAGACAAAUAAAAAAGAAGAAGAUAAACAGUAGUAAUUUAUGGAUUCAAAUCUUUAUUAGUUCAUACUCAAGAAACAAUUUAUGAGAUUCUAACCUUUAUAAGUUCAAACUUAAAAAAGUAAUUUAUGGAGUCAAAUCCUCAUUUCCACAUUAAAGUAUGACUAUUUUCCUAUUAUUUCUAAACAGUGUCCAAAAAUUCAUAACAUGCUUGAAAUUAAAAGUGAUCAUUCAAUCAAAUUUUAAAGAUAUUUUUCAAUUUUCUCAUGUUUGAUUGGUCAAAAUUGUUAUUUUAAUUUCAGUCACCUAACAAGAAAUAAAGUGCUAAAUGUAAUCAAUACAUGAAAAACUCCUUACUCUACGGAGGGCCUAGUUCUUUUGUGUAGUGCAUAAAACUUUUUGCAACCUAAUUUCUCCACUACAUAUACUAAAGACCCGAUUCUUAUGUAGUCUUUGUCAAUUAUAAACGCGAAACCUACUAAGGAUCUUGUUCUUGUGUAAUAUUUGUUAAUCAUCAAACUCAAAUUCCGUAUAGCUCAACAAAUUUUUCCUUUUGGAUCGAUCAUGAUGACAAACAAGUUUCCUAAGCGGCAUUCCAGGUUUUUUAUGUCCUUCNNNNNNNNNNNNNNNNNNNNNNNNNNNNNNNNNNNNNNNNNNNNNNNNNNNNNNNNNNNNNNNNNNNNNNNNNNNNNNNNNNNNNNNNNNNNNNNNNNNNNNNNNNNNNNNNNNNNNNNNNNNNNNNNNNNNNNNNNNNNNNNNNNNNNNNNNNNNNNNNNNNNNNNNNNNNNNNNNNNNNNNNNNNNNNNNNNNNNNNNNNNNNNNNNNNNNNNNNNNNNNNNNNNNNNNNNNNNNNNNNNNNNNNNNNNNNNNNNNNNNNNNNNNNNNNNNNNNNNNNNNNNNNNNNNNNNNNNNNNNNNNNNNNNNNNNNNNNNNNNNNNNNNNNNNNNNNNNNNNNNNNNNNNNNNNNNNNNNNNNNNNNNNNNNNNNNNNNNNNNNNNNNNNNNNNNNNNNNNNNNNNNNNNNNNNNNNNNNNNNNNNNNNNNNNNNNNNNNNNNNNNNNNNNNNNNNNNNNNNNNNNNNNNNNNNNNNNNNNNNNNNNNNNNNNNNNNNNNNNNNNNNNNNNNNNNNNNNNNNNNNNNNNNNNNNNNNNNNNNNNNNNNNNNNNNNNNNNNNNNNNNNNNNNNNNNNNNNNNNNNNNNNNNNNNNNNNNNNNNNNNNNNNNNNNNNNNNNNNNNNNNNNNNNNNNNNNNNNNNNNNNNNNNNNNNNNNNNNNNNNNNNNNNNNNNNNNNNNNNNNNNNNNNNNNNNNNNNNNNNNNNNNNNNNNNNNNNNNNNNNNNNNNNNNNNNNNNNNNNNNNNNNNNNNNNNNNNNNNNNNNNNNNNNNNNNNNNNNNNNNNNNNNNNNNNNNNNNNNNNNNNNNNNNNNNNNNNNNNNNNNNNNNNNNNNNNNNNNNNNNNNNNNNNNNNNNAACACUCCUAACCCUUGACCACUAUUCCACCCUUGUCACCCCCAAUUCUCCACCACAUAUUCAAACCCCCAUAAUAUUUUGCUAUAUUACAUAUCAUUAUUCUAGGAAUCAUAUCUUUUUAACUUAUUUAUCAAACACUAAAAUAUAAAUAAGCAAUUGAUUGAUGUUUUACCAAACACACCCUAUAUUUAAUCUCAUUUUUGGUUAAGUAGUUGUAGAACGGUUAUAUAUAUUCUUACAAUACAAUAAAUUAAUUUCUGCUGUACCAAAAUGUGAAAUUCUAAGGUCAUCUCAUGGUAGGUCAUAGUGUUGCAGAAAAAAAGGGGUAAGGUGGAAGCAUGCAUCCUGCUACGUAUUUCAGACAAAUUGGCUACACCAACUUCAGCAUUUAAUAUAGGUUUGGACAAUUCUUGUGAUAGUAGUAUAUUUAGAGGUUGUUUGGUACAAAAAUACAUAAUGCAGGGAUUUGUAACACAUGGAUUAGUAAUGUAGAGUUUAGUAAUGUAUGAGUUAGUUUUUAUCAAAGUGUUUGAUUCAUUGUUUCUCACUUAAUCUUGUGUUUGGUUUAAAACUCUACAAAAAGUUUCUUUCCUAUUAUACCCUUGAGUUAUUAUGGGAUUUUCUAUUUCAUUUAACUACUCAAGUUAAAUACUAAAAUAUAAAAAAAUAAUUAUUAGUAUUAAUUUUGAGGUGUGAUGUGCUACUACGGAGAUCCUUGAUAGCAUGGUGUAUUUCUAUUUUUUUGUUGGUUAAAUAUAAAUAUUAGUUUGGGAAAUCGUCAAAUUACACUGAACGGAUUUGAAAAAUUAAAAAGAACAUUUAUAACUAUUCCAAUAUAAAUAAUAAAAAAUGACAUUAUAUUACAAGAGAAAUUUAGGAAAAAAGAUUGGGGGAUAGCUUAGUCAUUUAGAAAAAAUGAUUAGUGGAUAAAUUAGGUUAAAUAAAGUAACCAAACAAUGUUUUGUUGGACUAAAUUUUAAUCCAAGAUUAUUUUGAUUAAUACCUCCUACCAAACGAAUCCUUAAUAGUUUUGAAUAUAGUGUAUUAAUAAGGUAGAAAUUGAUAAUAUUGUGAUUAUUAUGUUGGCAUUAUUUUUUUAUAUGAAAAGAAUAGGGGUGUAUUAAAAUAAAAAUAUUAUGGAAUGUAAGUAGUAGAAUAGGGGUAGUACUAUGUAUUACUAAUGUCAGAAUUUACUAGGUAUAAGAAUAGUACUAUAUAUAUAUAUAUAUAUAUAUAUUAGUUUUUCCAAUACUUUCAGCCAAAUGACCCUUUAUAAUAUGAGAAAAUAACGCAAAUCUCACUCUUCGGUGAGUUUUCGAAAUUACAAUUUGUGUAUUUUGGUCGCUAAAUAUAUGUUGUUGGACGCGCCAGAUUUUGUCCCCAGAUAUACGUAGUUGGACAUGCCAAAUAUAUGUAUCCAAGUGUAUCUGUAUGUCAUGAUGUAUUUGGUAUUUCAGAUAUAUGUAUCCAGUGUGAUUCACAUGUAUUUGGUAUACACAUAUCCUCUCACUCACUUCCCUCCUAUCUCACUCGCCCCUCUCUCUCUCCAUGUAUCUGUAUUCAGAAUGUAUUUGAUAGCAACAAUAUAUAUAUAUAUAUAUAGGUGUAUAACUUAAAAUUUGCUAUAAACUUAUUAAUUAGUGAGACAAUAUGUAAUUAUUUUAAACUAUAGAGAUGAAUUAGUAAAUAUCGUAGGAACGUUUGUGUAGGUAAUUUUUUUCUAAUAAUAUUGUGUGGUUUGACCCGAUAAAUUUCAUGUUUUAAUUGGCUCAUUCUCGAGCCCAAACAUUCGUUUUACAUCAUAUUGGUUCCAAGCUUUCCUCUUUAGUUCAUGCUCCAUAUUAUUAUUGAAAACUUUGUUAUAUACUAAUAGCGUCACACCAAUUAUGUAAGCGAACUAAAUUUAGUUUGGACACCAUUAUUAAAAAAAUUUAAAAAUUGAUAUUUACCGGAAAAUAGUACUAUACUAUAUAGGUUAAUUAUACAGAUGAAGCUGAUGUGAAUACUCUGAACUAUUUUUUAUUUAAACGUAUGUCCGAAAGUAAUUUUUACAACAAACAUACUCAUUGUAAUUUUAUAAGCUUGGUUCGAGAAUGGUAGGAUAUAUAUGUUCAUGGUCAAUAGACUCUUGGCUCAAAAGAGAAAUCAUCGAAGGUACACACAAUAAAAAAUGACAAUAAAAUAACAAAAUAAAAAUAAAUGAAAGUAACUUCAAAAAAUAAAUAAAUAAAAAAUAAAAUAAUAAUAAUACAAUCGGAGAUAGAAAGUAACUCUAUAAUAGUAAAUUAAUGUAAACGAGUGGAUUAAAUAAGGAAAGAUUUUGAGAAAAUAGAUAUAGUUUUGAUAAAACUUAAAAUGAUCAAGAACCUAGCAUGUACCUUUAUCAAAUUAUAAAUGAGAUGAUAUUAUUUACAUUGUUCUUUAACAAUUUUUUCUCAAGAAAAAAUUGAGAGACAAAAAUAUGUGAACUUGGCCCUCCUUCAUUUAAUGCUUCUUCUUUCAAUAAAACCUACUCUCAUUGCAUUCAAUGCUAGCAUUUCCCUUUAGGUAUUGAUGGUGAUGUUCUAAUUUCGCAAAAUAAAAUGUAAUACGUUGAAAUAGAACUAGAAACAAAGAGAGGGAGCGAAAUUUUCUCUUUAUUGUUCCUUUUUCUUGAGGCCUAGCUAGGCCUUAAAGCAAAUUUUACGCAUAAUAGACUUGGAUCGUAUCAAAUAUGUUAUAUAUAUAUUGGAGCAAAGUUAUUUGAGGAUGUUGAUGAGUUCCUCGGAUUAUAUGUCGAGACGAUCUUGAUGAAGGGCGGACAAUGAAAUUGGAUUUAGCAGAGAACUUACAUAGUUUUCGACGGUUAAUAUUUUGAAGAUGAAGUGCAUGUACAUGAUACCUUAAAUAAAUACCUUAGAAGUCCACGUUGGAGCUCCGACUAAAUUCAGAUCGCUCACUACAGGGCUCAUUCGAGGGUGACACUUCCAACAAAAAAUUUUCCCUAUCUAAAGCUUGAACCUGAAAUCUCUGAUUAAGGAUGAAGCAGUUCCAUUACAACGCAUGUUGAUGCGCAUAGAUAAUUAACUAAAGUAUUCACCAAUAUAUUGACCUCCCAAUAUAUAUAUAUACAUACAUACUAGAGGAUGAUUCAUAACCUUUAAGAAGAAACCUAGCUACCAAUAUCAUUCAACAAAUAAAGUGCAUUUUGUUAAGUUGUGUGUUUAUAGCAUGUAUAUGAUGAAUAAAUUGAUUGAAAUAAUUAGUGAAGAUUGUCUCAUUUGUGAUACCAAAUGCUGCUAGUCCAAGAAAACAUGUGUCCCUGCCCUCCUUCAUUUAAUGCUUCUUCUUUUCAAUAUCUCUCUUGCAUUCAAUGUUUACAUUUCCCUCUCUUCUUCCAUUCUUUGGUCAUUAAAUGGGGUGGACCAUUACAUUGCACCUAAGAUAGACUUUUUUUUUUUGGCGGGGGGGGGAGGUUGGUGUUCAAAAUUCUACUCCUUCCACUAUUGUUUGUCAGAUCAUGCACAACUUUUAAGAAAAAUUUAAUAUAAUGUGCAAUUUGACUAAUAUAAUUGUAUUAUCAAUCAUUAUUAAAAUGGUUUGUCCUUUUUUAAAACUAUAAAAACAACUUUUUUCACAUUAAAGUAGUUUUGUAACUUUAAAAUUGCUACUUUUUGAAGCUAAUAGUUAUGUAAUUAUUAAGGGCAGAAUUGGAAAAAAGUGACUAAUUGUUUCUUGAUUGUUAAAUUGACAAUUAAUUUUGGAUAACUAUUUUUAGUAUACAUGACAAACAAUAGUGGAUGGAGGGAGUAUUAAUUUUUUUAAAUGCGUCCCAAAGUGACAUUUUUUGGUAAUGCAAACCAUGAAGAAGUUGAAUGUAUAUAUUUGUAACUUUAUAAAAUUUAACAUGGGAUGUGGUGUAAUGGUGAGAGUGUUUCACCCUUAACCAUAUGUCUCGGAUUUGAGCCUUGAGUAUGGAGAAAAUUCAAUUGAAAGCGUCAUUCCCAAAUGAAUUUUAUAGUGUGUGAUCCGAAUUCAAUCGAGGCUCCAAUGCGCGUCUAAGAUUACCUUAUAUAAGGUUUAAUUCCAUUUACUUGUAUAAUUCGUUCUAGUGUGAAUUUUUAUUUUAUUAUUACUAAAAGUUAUUGCUAGGCACACUGCCUAGUGACAUAUUCACUAAAAAAAAAAAAAACUUCGUCUUGACUAUUCAAGAAUCAAGAGCAUAAAGUUAUUUCAGUAAUUACCUAUUUAAAAAAGAGAUGAAGGUAAUGGUAAUUUAAUGGAAUGUCCUUGGUUAAUCUAUCAAAUCAUUUUCCUAACGAGUGUGUCAAAACAUUAACCUUCAUAAUAUUUCUUUCACAAAUUCUUAGGAAAAAAUUAUGGAAGGUAAUAAAGACAAGAGUCUUGCCCCCCACUCCACCCCACUUCCAACUAAAAAUGUAUAUUAUUUUCUUAUUAAUUUUUGUAUGGAUAUUUUAAUUGAAAUGAUGAGAAAAGAAAAAAUAGUAAUGUUUUUAUACGGAAAAAUUAGGAAAUUUUCAUUAUUUCAGUAAGAAUCUGUUUUCCACCAUGUAUUUUUUCAGUGAGCUAAUUUAAUGAAAAAUAAGUGGAACAAUUAUGUUCUAUAGCACAAAAUUUUUACUGAUUCACGAUAGGAAAAACCUUAUUUCUAGGAAUGGCCACACACAAAAAAACUUAAUACACAAGUCACCCCACUCUAUCCCCUCCCACCCACCACUCCAUUUUCCUCUUGCAACUAUAUAUAUUUUAAACACAUAACACACACAAAAAAACAUAAAAACCAAACAAGAUAUUUCCACCAACUCAUAAUAUACUAGUGUAUACUCAAUCCCCACACCAAAACAUCACUUCUUUUUCCAUUUCAAAUCUUUGGCCCUCUCCACACAUUUCUUCCCUUUUCUUUCAAACCUUAUAACAAAACCAUAGGGAGAUGGAAAAAAUGAGCAUAAAAAGCACAACCACAAUAUCAAUCAUUUUUGUCCUUGUGAUAAUUCUACAUGCCCAUGGUGCAAGUCACACACAAUUUUUCAAGGUGAAGUCUUUGCCAAUUAGUAAUAAAAACAAUAAAUCUCCUUAUUAUGAGUCUUUGCCAAAAGGGGUUCCAAUUCCACCUUCUUCUCCUUCUAAAAGACACAAUGGAAUCAACCUCAAAAGGUUUUGGCCAUGAUGAAGCAACCAAAGAAAAAUCAAAAUCAAAAGAUUUUAUUUUUUUGGUAAUUUCAUUGAAUUUUUUUACUUCAAGUUUAUUUAAAUUGUACAGUAUUCUAGGAGUAUAAAUUGAUUUUAUUAUGAUACAUUAAUCUCCUUGUGCUUUUUUUUUUGUCCUUUUUAGUCUAAUGCUUUAGAGGGCACUGAGUAUUAUUGACUCAUAAGCCAUAUGUAGAGCAUACAUUUAAGAUUUGUAAUCUUGAGGAUUUAAGUUAUAUAUACUGAUUGUGUAAAAAAAAAUUACGUUAUCAGAUCAAUAUAAGAAGAUCACGCUCUUUCAAUUUUUCGAGUUAUAUGUAAUCCAUGCUUUUGGAACCCUUUAAUAUACUAUGUAUUUUUUACAAGUUAUUUGUCCAUGAUUUUAUUUUAUUUUUGUAUUUUGAUCAUUUAUUAUUUUCGAGAUCCUAAUCAUUUAAUUUAACUAUGAAAAGAAUAUAUGAUCGAUCUCUUUCUUCUUUUCUUUCUAGGGUUUGGUUCUUGGUGGGGUGAAAAGCAAUAAAUGAAUAAUAUAUACAUAGUAUAUAAUAUAAUUUAGUUGUUGUACGAGAUUCCAAAUUUAAUAUUUUUUCUUCUUCAUGAUUUUAAAUUUAUUUAUACUAUAUAUAGUUUAUUCUAAUAUAUAAUUAUUGCAUGUUCCUGAAAUUCUACUUGAAUUAAUCCAUUUUAUUUAUCUUACCGACAAAUUACAUGUGCUCGAAAAUCAAAUAUUUUGAACACGGUUUUUUUGUUCAGUGUAGUUGUCCUUGAAAUUAAGCUAGCGUUUGGCCAUAAAUUUUCAAAUAUUCUUGGCAAAUAUUAUUUGGAUAAAAAUUUGGGUGAAAUUUUACCAUGUGUUUGGCCAUAGUAUUUGGGAAAUAUAUUUCACUUUUUUAGAAAAAAUAUGAUUUAUACCCAUAAGUUUUAAAAACUAUCUAAACUAACCAUAAGUUUGUAUUACAAGUCAAUUGGAUUUUCGUUGCAAUAAAUAACAAGUAGUGUCCAAGACACUAGAGCAAUGUGGUAGUUUGGAGUGAGUGCAACAAGCAUCAUUCCAUACAACCCUGAGCCGAUUUUUCAUCAUUUUCAUCAACAACCAUAUCAUCACUUUCAUAUUCACUAAAUAUUUCAUCACUACUUUGGUGUUCACGUAAAAAAUUAUGUAAUAUAACGCAAACAACUACUAUAGAGGGUGUUUUUGUAAAAGAUAAAAGUUUGGUGUAAAAUUUCAAUUUUCAAAAGAUUCAAAAUAAUGAGAUUUGGCCCAAAUACUAGAAAAAACUAGUAUUUGAGAAUUUGAGAUAUUUGCCAAAUAAUGACAAAUUGUAUGGACAAACACUAUUUGCCAAAUUCCCCCCCCAAAUAUUAUUUGGGAAAUCUAUGGCCAAACGAAUAUAAUUAUCCUUUUUUUUCGAUAUUUGCGGAUUCUUUAAUUUUCUUUCUCCAUAGAGAAAAUUGGAGUAUCUUAACUCCUAACGACUUAUGUAUUUUGUUAUUAUUUUCAAUCAAAUGUAUUUCAUAAUUGAUUGCUACGCCUUUCCUCCUUUGUGAGUGUUUAGGUAUAUACUAGUAAAAUUAUCUGCGCCUUGUGCGGAAUUUAAUAUCACAAAAUUUAUUUAGGUAUAACACUAUAAAGGAACUCCAAUUACCAACAAAAAAAUUCGUUGGUAAAUUGAUCAAAUUGGUUGGCAAAUUGAGUUACCAACCAAAUGCCAACUUAUACUAAUCCAUUGCUAAAAGGCUUGUCGGUAAAUAUUACCAACCGAUUUUAAUUUGUUGGUAAACUUACCAACCAUAAAUCAGUUGGUAAAAACCCAAAGAUGUUGUUACAAAAUUUUGAAACAUGGCCCUGAAAUUUCCGUUAGUAAAUUCACCAACUAAUUUUUGGUUAGUAUAUCGUUAGUACCUUUACUAACGAAUUGAAAAGGAGUUAGUAAAUUUUUUCUUCAUUAUUCGAUUCCGUUGGUAAUACGUUGGUAAUUAUAGCAACAAAUGUCUGAUAGUAAACUUUUUCAAUUUUAAAUACUUUUUUUUUGUUUCCCAUCCAGUGUCCGGUACUUACAUUGAAACCCGACUAAAUCCAAAUUCACGCCGGGAAGUCUCACAUUGGGGGAUAAAGCGCUCCCUAACAAAGACAACUCCAUAUCCAAGGGGAAUCGAACCCAAGACCUCUUGGUUAAGGAUGAAUGAAUACUUACCACUCCACCACAACCCUUGUUGGUAAUAAAUUUUAAAUACGCUAGUAUGAUUAUUUGUUUUUCUAAUAAAUUUACUAAUUGAUUGUUAGUUUGUUGGUAAUAUAUCAUUCAAGUUCAAUGUUAGGUUAGUAAUUGAUUGACAAUAUGUUCAAAAUAUUAUUAACUGAAUGAUUAUUCAAUAGUAAAAUAUUUAUUAAUUUAUUGCAUUUAAAAAUCUAAGAGCACGAAUAUAAAUCCAAAAAUAUUAAUAUCAAUUUUAUAAAUUAUAUUUGAGUGAAAUAAUGCAAAAUCUAUGACAACAAGUUAAAUUAAUCUCAAUAUAACACAUAUCAUUAUAUCAAAAAAUUUAAUUUGAGCACGUUUACCAAAAAUAUUGACCAAAUCUAAAUUUUGGCCAAAAGUUAAAAGUUAAAAUGCCUAACAACACAGACUGAAAAUGGAAGCCUCAAAACCUGAACCAACCAUCCUAUUAGAUAUAAAAAUGACCUUUCGAAGUUAAUCACGCUGACGGAAUUCUUAUCAGAGCAUGUUUACAAAAAAUGUUAAGCAAAGUCAUAUUUUGGCCAAAAGUUAAAAGUUAAAACGCUUAACAAUAUCAAAACCAACCAUCCUAUUAGACGAAAAAUGACCUUCCAGAGCUAACCGCGCUGACGAAAUUCAAAUUUGAGCAUGUUUCCCAAAAAAAUUAACCUAAUUCAAAUUUUAGCCAAAAGUUAAAACGCUUAACGAUACAAACUGAAAAUAAAAGUCUCAAAACCCGAAUCAACCAUCCUAUGAGACCAAAACUGAACUUACAUGGCUAACCGCGGUGACCAAAUCUCAAUUCGAGCACGAGUACCAAAAAUAUUGACUAAAGUGAAAUUUUGGCCAAAACUUAAAAGUUAAAAUGCUUAACGGCACAAACUAAAAACGAAAGCCUCAAAACCCGAACAAUCUAUCUUAUUACAUAAAAAAUGACCUUCUGCAUCUAACUGCACUGACGAAAUUCUCAUCUGAGCACGUUUAUCAAAUAUAUUGACCGAAGUUAAAUUUUGGCCAAAAUUUAUAAGUUAAAACACCUAACGGCACACACAAAAAAUGAAAGACUCAAAAUCCGAACCAACCAUCCUAUUAGAUAAAAAAUGACCUUUGGAGUUAAUUACACUGAUGAAAUUCUCAUCUGAGCACGUUCACAAAAAUAUUGACUAAAGUCAAAUUUUGGCCAAAACAUAAGAUUUAAAACACCUAACAACACAAACAAAAAACAGAAGCCUCAAAGCUUGAACCAACCUUCCUGUUAGAUAAAAAAUGACCUUUCGAAACUAAUGACAUUGACAAAGUUCUUAUCUGAGCAUGUUUACUAAAAAUAUUGACCAAAGUCAAGUUUUGGCUAAAAUUUUAAGUUAAAACGCCUAACGACACAAACUGAUUAUGAAAGCCUCAACACUAGACGCUGAUUUACCAAAAAAUUUAACUUCAAUUGGUAAAUUUAUCAACUAUUCAAAUAUAAGUUAGUAAUUAAUAAUUUACCAAUAAAUUUUAUCACAGUUGGUAAUAGUUACUAUUCAACUAAGCAUUCAUAUGUAAUAUUACCAACUAAUAAUUAAUAUGUUGAUAAAUUUUACCGAUGGAUUAAUGAUCGGUUGGUAUAUUAACAACUAUUUUAAUGAUGUUAGUAAUUUACUAGCUACAAUCUCGUCGGUAAAAUUUCCAACUAAUUGGAUAUUGGUUGGCAAGUUUACCAACAAAUUACAUUUCGUUACUAAUUUACCAACACAUUUAUAUUUAGUUGGUAAAUUUAGCAACACAAUCUUGCCGUUGGUAAAUAAUUGGUUAGUAAUUCAUUGGUAAUAUGUUAAUAAAUUAUAUAAACAAUUUUUUUGUCAUAUUUACCAACCGAUAUAUACUUCGUUGGUAAUAUUACCAACAAAAGAUGUGUGUUAGUAAUAUUUCAGUUAGUAAUCCAUUGAUAGAAUGUUGCUAAAUUUGGCGCCAUUUUUUCCCGCCAUAUUUACCAACUAAAAUAUUUAGUUAGUAAGAUUUUGGUUGGUAAUAUGUUAGAAUUUCGUUGUUAAGUUUUAAAAUGUAAUUCAGUUAGAAAUAUGUUGGUAAUUUGUUAGUAGAAUACUAAUCAACUUAAGUUGUUAGUAAAAUAUAUUGGUAAUUUGGGAUUUUUUUUGUAUUGAAUUCUCACCAAUAUUUGUGUACAUUCUUGCCUUUUCAUUUUACUUUUUGAAAUAUUCCACUUUCUUGACUCUACUAUGUAUUGUGAAAUGUACUAAGCAUUGAUUAAAAGUUUAAUCUCACAUUUGUUUUCGCAUUUAAGCCCUAGGAAUGGAAUUGCUUUUGUACAUAGCAUUUUACCUUCCAAAAUGGGAUUUUGUUUGCGUGAAUAAAAAUUAAUCGAAUUUCGAAGUGAGUAUUGGAUACCCCAUAAAAAUAUAAGAAAGGAUUAGUGCUUGAAUUUGCUAAUAUGGAAGGAUAAUAAAAUUUGAAAUUUCAAUAAGGAUGUACUUCAGAUAUAUAUAUAUAAUCAUCUUUGCUUAUAUAUUGAUAAUAACUUUCAAUAUACGUAAUAUAAUUUUUGAUAAAGAAUGUUCAAUUAAUCAUCCUACACUAUUGAUAUAGAAUCGACGUAAUAGCAACAUAUGUUUUUCUUUUGUCAAAAAAACAAAUUAGGGCACAUAGAGUACUGAAGUAAAAAAAGAAAAAAAUCAAAUAAAACAAGAGAAGAUGCAUUUUAUUAGAAACACUUUAAUAAUGUUCUAAUUAGCUUGAAAAAUCUAUGAUUUGACAAGUCAACAUCUAUUUGACAGGACUUAAAAGAAUUAUUACUCAAUAGUUAAAAUUAAAAGUACAUUAAUUAAUCAUUAUUUUAAACUAUUAAAGAGCACGAGAGUUGAAAACUUUAUUAGGUUUAAAGAAAGUCUACGUAUAAAUGUCCUUGCUGGCAAAGGACCUUUGUAAAUAAACCAAAUCUGAAAAUAUUGCAACAAAUAAUAAUUUCUAAAUUAUUGGUUUUAUAUGAAUAAUUAGCACAAUGUCAAAGGUCGUUAAAAAUAAUUGAAAUUUGGUUGUCGUUAGGAGGGAAAAUUCAUGAUGGUUUGGUGAAAAAAAGAGUAUAAUAAAGUACUUUGAGAUGUUUGGUCAAGCUUUCAGAAAAUAUAUAAUAUAUAUAUAUUGAUUAGUAAUCGAAGUUGUUUAAUUUGUAGAAAUUAAUUUUAGAACUUUGAUCAAACAUAAAUUAUUCCUUAAGUAUUGACAAAAUUAAUUUUCAAAUUGAUAGUUAAAUACAAAUUCCUACUCUUUAAAUGUAUUUAAUUCUAAACGCAAUUCUUAAGUACAAUGAAAAGGGUCAAAAAUCACCAACAUAUUGGAUAUGAUUUAAAAUUGUCUCCUAUCUAUUGGAUCGUAAUUGUGCUUUAACAUUAAUUUUUGGAUUAAAAAUACGCAUUCUUUCACCUAUUGGAUUCAAUUGCCCUUUAUAGUUAAAAAAUAUUUUUUUCUUUUAUAUAAAGAGUCGAAGGAACUAGAAAUGGACAAGUGGUUUCUAGUUACUGUAUUUUGAAUUAACUUGGAUGUGUUAGGUUAUUUAUUGUUAAGGCCAUAUGGACCAAUAAAUCAGUGUCAUCUACUUAAUUAUAAUUCUACAUGUGUCGUCUCAUCAUUUUGUUCAAAUAUGGGUCAUUUUUAACUCCAAAAAUUAACAUUAACUAAGAAAAAUUGGAGUUCGAUAGGUAGAAGUAUUUAUCAAAAUAAGCAGAUUUUGAAAGCCUAACCAAACAGAAUCCUAUUAAGGGAAAAUUAUGCAACUAAGCAAACAUAUACUACUUAAUUAACGCUCUACUAAUUUAUUGAUUGACAGAAUAUAUUUUGUUGCUAAAUUAUCAUGAGAUCAACGUAAUAAGUUUUUAGAUUAUUCGAUAUUUGAGCUUUCAAGUUUCAAUCACAAGAAUAUAGUAAACAUAGUUAAGAGUUGAAUAAAAAAUAAAAUAGACUCAAUUACCCCUAUGGUGUCUUAUUAGUUGUUUGUCGUUUAAUAAGUUAGUCUAUUUUGACUUAUCUCUUGCAAGGAUUUUCAAACUAUGCAAAUUGGAUGUUGAAAGAAUAAGACGUUAUAAAAAGUUUUGAGUUUAAAUUAGUCAAUGAGAAGCAUAGAAAAUCAUAUCGUCAAAAAAAAAAAAAA
rnacentral:lncRNA from 1 species